rnacentral:lncRNA from 1 species
NNNNNNNNNNNNNNNNNNNNNNNNNNNNNNNNNNNNNNNNNNNNNNNNNNNNNNNNNNNNNNNNNNNNNNNNNNNNNNNNNNNNNNNNNNNNNNNNNNNNNNNNNNNNNNNNNNNNNNNNNNNNNNNNNNNNNNNNNNNNNNNNNNNNNNNNNNNNNNNNNNNNNNNNNNNNNNNNNNNNNNNNNNNNNNNNNNNNNNNNNNNNNNNNNNNNNNNNNNNNNNNNNNNNNNNNNNNNNNNNNNNNNNNNNNNNNNNNNNNNNNNNNNNNNNNNNNNNNNNNNNNNNNNNNNNNNNNNNNNNNNNNNNNNNNNNNNNNNNNNNNNNNNNNNNNNNNNNNNNNNNNNNNNNNNNNNNNNNNNNNNNNNNNNNNNNNNNNNNNNNNNNNNNNNNNNNNNNNNNNNNNNNNNNNNNNNNNNNNNNNNNNNNNNNNNNNNNNNNNNNNNNNNNNNNNNNNNNNNNNNNNNNNNNNNNNNNNNNNNNNNNNNNNNNNNNNNNNNNNNNNNNNNNNNNNNNNNNNNNNNNNNNNNNNNNNNNNNNNNNNNNNNNNNNNNNNNNNNNNNNNNNNNNNNNNNNNNNNNNNNNNNNNNNNNNNNNNNNNNNNNNNNNNNNNNNNNNNNNNNNNNNNNNNNNNNNNNNNNNNNNNNNNNNNNNNNNNNNNNNNNNNNNNNNNNNNNNNNNNNNNNNNNNNNNNNNNNNNNNNNNNNNNNNNNNNNNNNNNNNNNNNNNNNNNNNNNNNNNNNNNNNNNNNNNNNNNNNNNNNNNNNNNNNNNNNNNNNNNNNNNNNNNNNNNNNNNNNNNNNNNNNNNNNNNNNNNNNNNNNNNNNNNNNNNNNNNNNNNNNNNNNAAAAUGAUAUUAUUUCUUCAAUAUCAUUAUGCCGAAAUAUUGGUUGGAAAUUUUUAUCAAAUUUAGAACUUUUUCAUAUCGGGGUUACUAUUCAUGAUAUACUAUUCAUGAGUUACUAUUCACGAGUACUAUUCACGAAGCAUGAUGAUGUUUUUUGUGAAAUUUCUAUCUUUUGGUGUCGGAGUUACUAUUCACGUAUACGAUACUAUUCACGUAUACGGCACUAUUCACGAAUACGACACUAUUCACAGAAAAAUUAAAUUUUCAUUUUUCGUCCAAAAUAUCUAUUAUGGAUACUAGCUUUGAUUGUAUCCAUGUUUUGAUCAUUCUUGAAUUUUACUCCACUCUGAUUACUUAUGAAGUAUUUUUGAACUUGGAUUGUUUAAAAUACGAAUUCUUAAUAUUUGUUCUUUUGUUUCACUGGAUUCGUUUCCUUUAAAAUAUUUUUCAUUAUCCUCAGUCCUAAAUGAUGAUAUUACUGAAUAUCUUUGGCCUGUAGUGCAAAGAUGAAUAUUUGAUUCCAGAUAUAUAUUGAUUGAUGUUACAGGGAUAAAAUAUCGACGAUGAACUUUUAAAUUCAUAUAUAGACGAUAGUAGUUUGCAUUCUCUACUUAACUCUUCUAAUGAAUUAUUGUUUCCACUGCAGUUGUUGAUUUAAAACUGGUUGUCUAUUGUAUUCUAUUAGAUUUUUUCCUGUUGAAGACUAACGAUAAUUUGUUGUAUAUUAUCUUAGUCAUAAUAUUCUUUACUGGGCUAGUUGAGCUCACCCUUUUCCUUGUUGUUCCAUUUUUCUUCUCAGGAGGCGAGAAUGUAGCGAGUACUAGUCGGGGUAUGGAAUGAAGGUUCUAGAGAGAGUUGUUUAGUAGUCCUCACCAUUUUUGUAAAAUAAUGUAUCAAUAAUUAUGAUGGGGAUUUAUUUGCGUGUGGAUAUUGUCUAGAUGGCAAUAUCUGUAUUUAAACUCACAGUUUAUAUGUUGUAAUAAUAAAAUUGUAGUUAUUUCUGUACCAUGUAUUUGGCGACUCAGAAUGGGUUGGAUGGAAUAGACCUAUUUUGGGGGCGUCACAUAACAGAAGAUUUUUCUUCUUUCUCUAUUAUUCUCUCUAUUCUUUCUCGCUCUAUAGCUUUAGUGUUCGUGAAAAAUAAUGAAGAAAUGAGCUUCUAUUUAUAAGCUUGGUAGAGUAAGGGUAAAAUAGUCUUUUCGCCAUAAUUUAUGAUAUCAUCGCUUACAUCAUCAAUCAUAUGACAUCAUUGCUUACAUCAUCGAUCAGAUGACAUCAUUGCUUACAUCAUCCUUCCGAUGACAUCAUUGCUUAACUCAUCGUUCCGAUGACAUCAUCAGAAUUCAAAUUCAAAUUGUUAUCUUUCACCUCAUUUUACUUUUAUACCAUGAAUUUACUAUAAUAAUGUUACCAUUCAAAUUAUAAAAAAAAACAUACUAUCAUAUAAUCACAUCAUACUACUAUAAUAUAAUAUUAUAAUAAUAUAUUUAAAUGAAUUAUUGAUUUGAUAAUUUGAAAUACUGUGUAAUGACAAUUAUUGAAUCAAAAAUAUCAACGGAGCAAUUAUUGAAUCAAUAAAAUAUUAAACAGUAAUUACUGUAACAAUUAUUGAGUAGUGUCUUCUUACGUAAGAAUCAAUAAUUCAAAAAAUAAUGUGCAAUACCGUGUGCUACUGUGCAACAACGCGUGUUACUGUAUUUUAACCACCAGGUAUUCCAACAGUGUUAACGGUAACACUUUCGCCGUUAUUUUCAUAAAAAUAUUUUUGUCAUUUUUUAACUCCGACAAUAAUUCCGUUGUGGGGUCCACCAAUGAUUGUGUCAUUGUACGAAUAUUCUCCGACAAAAAGAAUAUUCCCCGACCAAACGAAUAUUUUAUAACAACUUGCGUACUUUAUAAAAUUUAUAAAUAUUAUCCACAACUAUAAGUUUAUAUCAAAUUCAUUCCAUAAUAUUUAAAAAUAAUAUUUAUAGAAAAAAUAUCUUUAUUAAAAAGUUGGGGUCUUACAGUUUAUAAAUGCAUCACUGAACUGAUUUUUUUACAAUCAACUCAUUGAACUUCAUGGAAUUAUUUUCAAAUCGUUACAAAAUCCAUUAAAUAAGUUGACUUUUAAUAGAACAUCCAUGUCACUCAACCAUGAACAUCUACGUCAGCUGCUUCACGUGUUAUCAUAAAAAACGCACCAUAUUUUUUUAAUUUAAAUUAUAUGGCCAAUAUGGAGCAUAUCAAGAAACAUUAUUAUGGAAGUCACCCUUCAGGUAAUCCAUUUGAAAUUAUCUUUCAUGUAAUUAAUUAAUUAUCUUUGUUUAGAAUUUUCUUGUGUAAGCAGAUAAUAAUUAAUCAUGUUCUAUUUAGCUUUUAUUUAUAGAAAACAUUAGGCUUAAAUAUGAAUUACUAUCCUAAACUAUUAGCGUUUUUUCAAUUCGGUAAUUGACCUUUUAAUUUUUUCAAUUAGAUCAUUAAACUAUUAAAAUUUUCCAUUUCGGUCCAAUUUAAGUUGCCACGUCAUAAAUUAAUGACGUGGCCUACUGACUAAGCAAACUAAUGCUUAUGUGUAAUUAAAAAAAUAUUAUUUUAAUUAUGUUUUCUAAACAUCAACGGUAAAUAAGUCAAAUUAUCAUUAAAUAUAUCCAAACCUAACAAAUAUCAUUAAAAUCAUCAUUGUUUCUCCUUCAAUUGAACUGAAAAUCUAUUGCUGCUUUCUCCCCCAAUAUUAAACAUCUAUCAGUCUCAAAAUUUCACAUACUUUUAAUUUUUCUCUUACUUAAAAGAACAAAUAAAUAAGUUCUAAAUCUACAACUUCCUUUGUUCAUCAUUUAAUAACACCUUAAAUCUCUUGCUUCUGUCUUCUGUUUCUUCUCCAGAUCUACCGGCUCCUUUUUCCAUGAUCGGAGCACAACUCUCGGCACUCCAAUAGGGGCCACUAGUUUCCCUCCCAUCACCUUUAUAGCUCCAUCUCAGCGUCGUGACACCACCAGAAUCUCUACCAUCAGUCUCCGGAAAGACGAGAAAAAGAACAACUAAGCAGCGGCGACGGAGCUUUUUCUGAGGGGAAGGAAGCGAUGGUGGUGGAGGCUUUGCAGUGACGAGGAGUUGAAGCCGUCGAAGCUAGACAGAGCUGCUUUCGAGGAGGAGGCGGUGAUGGAGGAAGAUUUAAGAUUUGAGUUUGUAUUUUUAUCUUAGUUUGCAAUUGAAAGGAAUACAUGAUUUUGAUCUCUCUUUUUUUAGCUGUGUUGGAUUUAGGUAUACAGGAUGGUGUUUUUUGGCUGUGUUGGAUUUGGGUAUGUCGUAUGCAGGAUGGUGUUCACGGUGGCUUUAGGAGGUGUGUUUGGUUUUGGUUAGUUGGGAGGAACAAGGAUGAUUUUAAUGAUAUUUGUUAGGUUUGGAUAUAUUUAAUGAUAAUUUGACUUAUUUACCCUUUGAUGUUUAGAAAUUAUAAUUAAAAUAAUAUUUUUUAAUUACACAUAAGCAUUAGUUUGCUUAAUCAGCAGGCCACGUCAUUAAUUUAUGACGUGGCAACUUAAAUUGGACCGAAGUGAAAAAUUUUAAUAGUUUAAUGAUCUAAUUGAAAAAAUAGUUUAGGAUAGUAAUUCAUAUUUAAGACAAAACAUUAUAAGUAAGGUUGUGUGUGUUAUUAAAGUGAUAUUUACUAUUGUGUGAUGUUAAAUUAAAUUGUAUAAAAUUUUGUUAUUUCAAUUGGUUUUGGAAUUAAAAUCGCCCCAAAUGAAACCGCACCUCAUCAAUUACAAGCAAUUUCAUGUGUAAUUUUAGAUUUGUUAAAUCUUAUUUAAAAAAUUUCAUGUACAAUUUGAAUUUCAAACCGCAUCAUACUCAUCCCUAAUAUAUGUUACCCUCCGGAUAGAAAAUAAAGUGCCGCAACAUAUUUUGGCUGUUUUAUAACCAGAAUAUAUUUAUAGUAUCUUAUUUAAAAGAUUUUUGAAAACUUUAAAACAAUAUACAGAUUAAUAAUUUUUUUAUUUAUAACAACUGAGUUGAAGUUUCACAAUCUGAAUAAAAAAUGGGAAUAAUAUAUUACUCCUAGAAAGAAAGUUGUUCGCUAAUAAAACACACACUAUAAAGAGGAGUAACAGGGCAUCUAGAAGUCAGAGGAAAACUUUUGUAAUAUUCUUCCUAAAAAAAUGGGAGGAGAAAAGUCUCCAUCUUACUUUAUUAGAAUUAUUUUCCUUCUCUCCUCUAUAUUAAGAAGAAAUUAAAUCGUUGCUAUAAAUUCUAUAACGACAAUUUUUAUCGUUUAUAACGACAUUUUUAUUGUGAAAAUAUCAAUUUUUUAACAUAUAUUUUUAGUAUUUACUUUCUCUUUUCUUAGUUCGAUUUGGGCUUCAGCCUUCACGGAUAGGCCAUUUUUUUUUCUUGUACCCUACUGACUUAGCUUUUAGUUUGGGAGAGGGUAGGUCAGUCCAUUACUGUAUAUAAUAUAAGUGGUAAAAUUUGGAAUGUCUUGUCAAAUGAAAAAAAUUUAUGUUCUUUCAUCAAAAAUUGUGUGACUCGGGAGGUGGAAGGAAUCACGAAAGCUUUAAAGGCCCAUUAAAUAAAUUCAUGCUUCUUGUGCAAAUAUUCACACACAAACGCACAUAGAGGAGACAAUAAUUAAAAAACAUUAAAUAUAAUACCUAAUUAUCUAUAAUACCCUUAAAUCUUUUGUUAGAAUAAAUAAAAUUUUGUUGGAAUAAGAAAAUAGAAAGAGUUUAAAAUAUCAAAAAAUAGGCAGAGGAAUGAGGGGUAAUUUUAGAAAAAUUAUCAUUAAUUCUUUCAGAUUUGAACAAAUAUCAAAUAAUUAGGGACAAAAAAACUCUAAAACGUCAAAUAAUNNNNNNNNNNNNNNNNNNNNNNNNNNNNNNNNNNNNNNNNNNNNNNNNNNNNNNNNNNNNNNNNNNNNNNNNNNNNNNNNNNNNNNNNNNNNNNNNNNNNUAUAUAUAGUAGUACUCCCUCCGUCCCUUAAUAUAAAACGUUUUAGAGAAAUUUUUUUGUUCCUUAAUAUAUGACGUUUAAGAAUUCCAAGUAAGUAUUAAUUGCUUAUUUUCUAAUAUUACCCCAAUUAUUAAAUAUAAUUUUAGUUUCUUCACUAUUUUUUACCCAAUAAAUAAUAAUCUCUUUUUUUAAUAUAAAGACAAUAUAAAUAUUUGAUAUUACAUUUAAAUAUUUAAUGUUAUAUAAUUAUUUCUUUAAUACUUAUUAACAACUUUAAAAAAAUUUAUAUUAAGAGACAGAGGGGAUAGUAUGUAUUAAAAUAUUUGGGGGUGUGGCAGAGGAGUGCAUUGAUUUCAGCACGCGCUUGGGCCUUGGCAAUAAUACUUUCUGGGCAGGUGAAAAAGACUACUCAAUUAAAGUAUUAUUACACCCAUCACAUGAAUUAUAAGUGUAUUUCUAAUCUGCCCCUUUGCUGCCCCUUUAAGCUAAGCAACACCCCCAAUAAAACUUCCUUUUUUAAGUGUUACUUUUCCCCCAAUGAGAAAAAAAGAAGAAGAUGCAUAAUUAACAAUCAUAACUUUCAUCAAUGUAAAAUUAUGCUUAUAUACACACACAUAUAAUGAGCGAGUGUAUAAGUAAUGUAAUUACACUUACUAUAUAUAUAUAUAUAUAUAUAUAUAUAUAUAUAUAUUGAAAUGAUCUUAGCCAUUAAAAAAACCUACUUCAUGACUAUUCAAUUAUCUGAUUAUCUAUUGGGUAAUAAUCUGAAUAAUGAAAGAAAUAUAUAUUUGAGAGAAGCCAUAACCAGCAAGACCAAUCAUAGAUGAUACAGCUUAAACUUUGUUCAAAUAUAAUCAUCAAUGCUAAGAACACAAUUAUAUAUGCAAAAACAUCAUAUACAUAUAUAAAUAUAUAUACACACAUUUAUCUUUAAUAACCAAUUAAAUUAACAAAUUUAUUUUAUUCCCUACUCUUAUCUAUUUGUCAAGGCACUCAAGUAAGAAGCAAAUUUAGAGAACCAUCUCAUCAUUCCAUUGCUUUUACAAUUAAAUUACAAAAAUACCCUUGUAACAUUAUCUAAUUUCCUUCAAGUCCCUCAGCUCCAAACUGACAAGUUUUAACAAGUAAAGAAACCCUGAUAAUUAAUUCCUUCAAGUAAGCACGAAGCAAAAAAUAAAAAUAAAAAAAAUGAGUAGACCAAAAAUAGGGAGGGGGGGAGGGGGGGAUUCCAUGUAGGACUACUGCCACAUUUUGAGAAUAUUACAAGUCAUUAUUUCCUAAUACUAGGUUGACCAUUUGAGGAUAAUUUGGGGAAAACAAUUUCAAUUUUCUUUUUUCCUUUUUUCUUUUUUAAGGAAUGUCAUAUAUGAUAGAACAUAAAUCCAUCGUUUGGUUCCCUCUAAACAGGAACCUGCCAUCACCAAAAUUCAGGUCCAAGCAACAACCAGACCACUUCUAAAGUGUAUAAAACCCAGUUCACACAUCCCAAAUGAUUCAAUCCAAAACAGCAUCACUACUUCCUUGUAUUAUCAGACUAACAAAAACAAACAACAUAGCCCUCAUGCAUCCUCUUCUUCUCUGUGCUAUCUUUUCCUUGAUCUCCGUUACUACGUCUCAAGACCGAUCUCCCCACGGACUCGCUCAUGAAAAUCCAAUGGCGUUCUCACCAUCAGCAUUCGAGUUUUUCCAUCCAGACAAUCAUCAGCCGAGUAAAGUAAACCCCUGUGCUGCAUCAGGUUGCUCGCCAUUGCCUAUAGCAGCAACAGUGCAGUCAAGUCUGGCAUAUGCAAGCAGAUCAACACAAAAUAGGGGUGGCAGUGGAAUAAGAGCUGGUGGCAUUGCUGGUAUAAUCUUUGGCUUUGUAUUUGUCGUGCUUUUGGCAAUGGGUGUUUACUAUGUUGUAAUCAAGCAUGCCACCAAUAUGAGCAAAAAUAAUUCUGCUCAAGCUGAAGCUUGAUACGCUACCAGUAGUCUCACUCGCCAUCCAAAAAAACAACGGCCAUGGCCGUGCUUCUUUCAAUAUUGAUUGGAGAUGUAUUUAUGAUUGUUAUUAGCAAUAGAGGGUGACAAGAGCUAUAUUCAUAUUCACCAGUCCACUGUACUAUUUCCCCUCCUAGGUAAUUAAAAUUUAAAUUAUUUUUCUAGAUUAGCAGUUAUUUCCUGAUACUUGUCUUUUACUUUUGAACUUCUAAAGUUACCUGUUGAUUUUAAACCCACAAUCAUACCAGAUUGUAAUCAGAUGACACUAAGAGAUCUAAAAGAAGUAUGCACCAUACACUUCACCAAAAUAAUGAAUUAACUCACCUCCAUUUCAGUGAAUGGGGGAAGUAUGAAAAUCUGCGAAAUGAACACACCAAAAAGUAAACCAAGAUAGGCCACAUAUGAAUGUCGAAUUAGUAUCAAUUAUCAAACAAUCAUUACCAUAUUACAUAAAAUAAACAGUACUGAAGAUAAACUAAUAGUCUAUCAAUCAAACGUAGUAAUAGGUUAGUAAUGGUUCUCAUUAGUAGAAUCAGCCUCUAAGAUGAUCAAACUAUCUACUACUGUGCACAACUUUUGACUAGCAUACAUUCAUUGUUAUAAAAUGAACAAAACUCAAACUAGCAGUAAUCAAUGACUGAGUUCGCGAUAGAUUCAUGGAAGGAAAAAGAAAUAGAGCGUACAUGGUAUAAAUUAAACGCAGAAACUGAAUAAUCGUGGCUUUAUGCUUCCUUCUAAUAUAUUAAAACCAAAAAUAAAUGCUCACUAUUUUCUUAUGAUUAUCUAAAAACAAUUCACUUGGAGAAAGGUGAUGAGAGCGUGUUGAAAAUGGUGCCAAAUUAAUAAGAAUAACUAGAACCCAAUUCUUAAAUAAUUCAAGCAAGAGGCUGCAAGUAUGACUAAAUAGGCAAUUAGCACAGACUUGCAAUAUAAUUAGAUCCAGCUGAUUCAGACAAACUGCUACCAAAUCGAGCCUCUUCGCACUAAUAUCAAGUUAGAGAGCAUGAAGCUAAUUUUAGGAUGGCCAUCAGUAAAGCUUUGCUCGGCACAAUGAUCUACUUAACUUCAAACAAGAUAGACAUCUUUUAACUAAUCUUCUAACACAUAUUGAUUGUGGUUGAUUCCAGUCCACGAAGGUUACAAAUCAUAUGCCAUUUUCUGGGAAUGAACAAAUUAUAUGUAUUCACAAUAUGAACACAGUGACAAGAAGUCAUGCCCAUCAAAUGUACAAAGAAUAGAUUGACAGAACACAGCCACUUCUACAAUUUAGAUGUUGUAUAUUAAAGACAGCUUCUAGAGAGGAUUCACUGAAAUAGGUUUCAAUCUAACAUUAAAACAGCUAAUUUUUUUUGAAGAGAUGUUACUUGUCACGAAGACAAAGCUCCAGCACUCGGCUUGCCCCUUUUUAACUCAGAAGAGGAAAGAUCGGGCGAGCCAUAUUAUAAAUUGCACAAAAAGUAAAGCAAAGAUUCAUACAUUAGUAGAAAAAUAGUCCAAUAUCUCUACCUUCCACGUGAGCUAAAAGACUCGAUUACAUGUCCGAAAGUCUGAUCCACAGCUUUGUUCCAUAGGUGGGAAAAUUCCAGACGAGAUUUCUUCCCAAAAAUAGGCUCCCUUAUCUGAUAAGUUGAAAGAAUAAAGUUUAAAAUUUGAAGAGGUAAGACCAUGGAUUCAAUAUUUUUUUUAUCUAUUUCAUGAAUUUAAUGAAUAUGGAAAUUACAAAUGCAUAAAUUCUGAGUUACUCAACACAUAAACUAAUAACUCGUCCUUCUACUGUAAUGCGUAAAACCUUGAUAUGAAAAUAAUGGGGGCAAGAUUAUUUAGGAAACCACAUAUACAAAACACACAACACAGCCAGUUCCACUAAACAUGCCAAAAAUCAGCAUGAUGUCCUUAACAAAUCAAUGUCAAAAGUUCCAUGAAAAUGGUCUACAAGUAUUGCACUUUAACAAAUAUAUCACUUGUUUGAUACACGAGACAUGGAAUUAAAUGAGCUAAAGACACAAUGCGAGGCUCCCAUCAGCUGUUCAAAAUAGCAGACAGUAGUGUAUACAAUAUGUACAUAUAGAUCGUGUAUUAAUCAAAUCAAAGGAAAUCAUAGGCAUACACCAAUGGCUUUGACAAAGCUUUUGGCAAUGUCAUUAAGGUGGGUGACCCAAAUCAACUGGAAGAAGAAAAAAGUUACACGCGAAUAGGAAAUGCGGAAUUUGAGAAGCAAAAUCCAGAUAUUACUAUCAACUUAGUGGUUUGGAGGUUAUUGCAUUCUUUCAACAAUGGUGGUUCCAAACAGAAAUUGUGGAAUCCACAUUCACAAGGUGUUGAAUACACAUUCACAAGGAGUUGAAUCUCCUUCAUUAUUGACUGCCACAUCCUCACCAUCAAUCUCUCCUUCAGAAUCAAAUAAAGCUUUUAUUCCUACCAAAUAACAUUUCUUUUGUUCCUACCAAAUAAUAUAGACAUAGAUCCCUCAAGAACCAACAAAUGAAAAUUUCCUGUAACUUUGACUUUGGUGUAUACUUUUGCUUCUAACUGUUAGUUGUGGGCAUGUGCGUGUAUGCGAAACACAACAAAGCAAACGUACCAAAUAUUCCCUAAAUUUGCAUGAGAAUCCAAUAUAUUGCUCACUAAACAGUGUUUAAACCAGAUUCUAAGCAAUAGGAUCUAAUUAGAAUUUGUGAAGUUGAUAGUCUAACUCUAAAAAAUUCACUGCCAGUCUGCCACAGUCCAUAGAGAUGUUUAACUAAGACAGAAUGUAUAUGUAUGGUAGGGAAAGACUAAUAAAUUGGACUAAGGAUCUUACAGAUAUGGUGAUAGUAAAGACUGGGUGAUGAAACGCUGGGGAAAGAAAGAGUGCUCUGAUGUUUAUAGAUUGUUAACAGCAAUGGUAUAGGAAAAAAAUGCAGUGCUUUUCCAGAUGAUGACAACAAAAGAUGAUGUGGUAUCACAGUUACAAAAUAGCCAUAUUAGUUGUGCUGAGUGCUGACAAUGGCCAAGUAUGUUCUCCACCCUCAACGAAUUCUGUUUGGUAUACAAAGGUUUAGAAAAAAACUGAAAAUCAGGAGNNNNNNNNNNNNNNNNNNNNNNNNNNNNNNNNNNNNNNNNNNNNNNNNNNNNNNNNNNNNNNNNNNNNNNNNNNNNNNNNNNNNNNNNNNNNNNNNNNNNCAGAGAGAGAAAAUACAUAAGUGUCCCAUCCAAGUUCACGUCAGCAGCUCUCUCUCACUUAUUCAAAUUUCAAACCCUCUAUCUCUCUCUCUGUUCUACCACACACAGAGCUCUCUCAUUCCCCCCAAACAGCGUGAUCCCUCAAAACUCCCCUAAAUCUCUUAUACCCAAUACCCAGCCCUAAUUUCAGCCCCAAAUCUCUCAUACCCAACCCUAAAUCUCAUACCUAGCCCCUAAUGUACGAGCCAGAGCAUAGAGAAAGUAUCUAGAAUCAAAUUGGGUUCACGGACAAACAAAACACGCAGAGAGAAACGUGAAGCAGAAGAAGUUGAAGAGAGAACGAAGCAAACACCUUUGUGAGAAGUAGCAACGGUCGCAGUCAUCUCUCUCUCUCUCUCCUACUCUCCCGCCGACGUAACAACGAUUCGCCGGUGCGAUAACGGCAGCGUCGCUUGAGAGGAAGCCGUGGAGUUUAUCCAAUAGCUCUCUUGAACAUCUCUCAUCUCUUUGCGGGAAUAAUUAUCAAAAGGUAAUGAGAGAUGUUUAAUUUGUUUAUUGUUUUUAUACAUGGUUCAUGUGUUGUAAGUAGUUUAAUUGUCUCUAAUUGCUUUGAUUUAUUUCCCUUUAUUUAUUUUUUUAUGAUGAUUAAAUAGUUUAUUGAGGUAUGAUUUUAGUGACUUGAGAAAAUUUUGUAUUUUUGCCCUAGAUGUUUAUAACUCCAGCUAAGGAGGAGAAUUUGAUUUUCUUAAGAAAGUGUUAUCAUUGUGAUUGCUAAAUCAACUUUGUAACCUUAUGAUUCUGUUAUUAACAAAUGUGAUUUUAGAAAUAACUUUUCCAUGUUGUCUUUUUCAUUUUGGCCGAAGGAAAAAUUUACUGGAAAAUAGUUUUCCUCAUUUAGGGAUGACACCUUUUUCUUUGUUUUGAUUGCUAUUUGUAUUUAUUGGCAAGCCUUAAGAAUUUACAAAUUUUGCAUUUUGGAUAAAUAUUGCUCAGUUCCCAAGCUGCCGGUCAUGGAGCAUUUCAAGAUUUCUGAAGAUCUAAUGAUUUGUCAGUCCAUGGGUUCUUAGCCUAAUUUGGUAUUCAAAUUGACGCCUUCCCAAGUAAUAAAUUCAUCGACUUAUGCAAAUUUUAGUGGAAUGGAUUAUGCAUAAUGUGUGUUUGAUGAAAUGGUUGAGAGAAAUACCAUUACAUGGAAUUCACUAAUUAAUUGAUGUUUGAUUCUGUUUCUUCAGUAAAUACCAUUACAUGUUUGAUGUUUAAGUAGUAUAUUACAAGAAAAGUUCAAUGAGCAUACUUGGUCGGUAAUAGGUUUGAUUUGUUAGUUAAUCUGCUAAAAUCCACCCAUUAACUUUUGCAGACCAAAUUAAUCUUUCAACAAAACACUCAACCUCUAAUAUCUAACAAACUUAUGGAUGAUUGAGAGAGAGAAAUAGUGAUAAUCAAUACCCUCCAUUACUGUUCUGGCUCAAUUCUUAAAUUAAUGUUAAAUGCCCUGUAGAUGAUUGAAUAACCAAAGCUGUGUAAUCUAAUUUCUCUAUUCACCAUGAAUGUAAACAAGUUGUAUAACUAGAAGGGACUAAAACUAGAAGUUAGUGGCAUUCUUGAAGGAAUUCCUUCACUGCCUGAAUAUUACUGCUCUGCUUCUGUAAGCCCUGCCCAAAAAAUGAAGCCUUGAAUACAUGGUGUUAAUGACUGCCUGGCCUUAUUUGCAAUUUAUUUUAUUGACUUGAUUUUGGUGAUGACUUAUAUUGACUUUGGAACACUAAAAAAUAGAAAAAAAUGACUUGAUUUUGGUGAUGCUUGGGAACGGAAGAUUUUGGAUGGUUAUAUUUUUUUAAAAAUACUUUAUAGUUUAAGGAGCGUAAGACACGACGUAACGAAAAAUUGUUAUAAAUACCUAACCUUAAAAAGAACUUCGGGUUGAGGUCUUAUAAAGGGUAAUUUGAAAAUUUAAAUAGCCUUUUAUAUCACCAAUCUUCAAAGUACCUUCAAUAAAAUAGCCUUUUGUAGGGGAGGUGUAGAAAAUGAGUAUUAAAAGCUUUAUUAAAUGAGUACCUUCAAUACCCAUAUGUGGUUGGAAACCAUGUUUUAUUCCCCCUCCCCUGUUUUUGAUGAAUGUUUUACAUAAUAGUUACAUUUUUAAAUGUUUUACAUAAAAGUUUAUGGUAAAAGAUUCAAAUUGGAUUUUAAACUGAGUGGUACUGUUAGAUAUUUUUAAUUUGUUAUUGUGAAAAGAUUUAGAAGCAAACACCUUUGUGAGAAGCAAACACUUUUUUAUUGAAUGGGUUUGCUAAACUAUUGAUUAAAAUGGUGGUUUUGUUUAUUUCGGUGGAUCGAGAUUUCAAUUUGGAUGGGUUUGGUUUUUUGUUCAACUUUUAUGGGGUUUAAUGCGUGAUUAUGGAUUUAAUUUUUCUUCUCGGUUGUUCUUUUUUUGAAGAAAUCGCAAAUAUGUUACUUGAAUGGGGUUUAAUGCGUGAUUAUGGAUUUAAUUUUUCUUCUAGGUUGUUCUUCAAGGGAAUUUUUUGGAUGUUUUUUUUAAAUCUUUCAUUAGGAGUUAGGACAAAUUGGUACUCAUAUUAUGCAAGUUGUAAAUAGUUUCUUUUUUCUUUUUUAAAACUUUUAAUCUUGAUGUUUUUUAAUGUCACUAGAUUGGUUAGGCUAUGAUAAUAUCAUUAGUUUUUCUUGAAUCAAACCCUUUACUGCUUUGCUUCUGUAAGCCCUGCUCUUUUUCUUUGUUAUUUUUUUAUUUAUUUAAGUUCAAAAUUGAUUGCUAUUUGUGUUUAUUGGCAACAUUAUUUGGUAAAGAAAAAUGAAGGUUUAGAAGUUAGUGGCUUUCUUGAAGGAAUACAUGGUGUUUGGAAGUUAGUGGCAUUCUUGAAGGUAUUUACUGCUCUGCUUCUGUAAGCCCUGCUCAUUGUUUUGAUUGAAUGAUUAUUAUAUGUAUACAUGGUGUUAAUGACUGCUUUAAGUAUCAAGAUUAUUAUUUCUUUUGUGAAGCAAUGGUUAAGCCAUAUACAUAAAAAAGUAUACUAGGUUAACCUUGAAUGAUGGUCAGUACUUAUAUUUUCCUUACUUCUUAAUUGAACUGAUAUACCGUUAUUACUACUGUUAAGAUCAGUCCACAUAAUGUGUCUCACUACUGACUUGAUUUUGGUGAUGCUUGGGAACGGAAGAUUUUGGAUGGUUAUAUUUUUGAAAAAAUACUUUAUAGUUUAAGGAGAGUAAGACACGACGUAACGAAAAAUUGUUAUAAAUACCUAACCUUAAAAAGAACUCCGGGUUGAGGUCUUAUAAAGGGUAAUUUAAAAUUUUAAAUAGCCUUUUAUAUCACCAGCCUUCAAAGUACCUUCAAUAAAAUAGCCUUUUGUAGGGGAGGUGCAGAAAAUGAGUAUUAAAAGCUUUAUUAAAAUGAGUACCUUCAAUACCCAUAUGUGGUUGGAAACCAUGUUUUAUUCCCCCUAUUUUUGAUGAAUGUUUUACAUAAAGUUACAUUUUUAAAUGUUUUACAUAAAAGUUUGUGGUAAAAGAUUCAAAUUGGAUUUUAAACUGAGUGGUACUGUUAGAUUUUUUUAAUUUGUUAUUGUGAAAAGAUUUAGAAGCAAACACCUUUGUGAGAAGGCAAAAGAAAUUUAUCUUAUUCUUCGCUUUUUAUCGUUUUCUUUUUAUUGAAUGGGUUUGCUGAACUAUUGAUUAAAAUGGUGGUUUUUUAAAGGUUGAGUGACUCCGGGUUUUGUAUAUUGAAUUCAUUUCGGUGGAUCGAGGUUCCAAUUUGGAUGGGUUUGGUUUUUUGUCAACUUUUAUGGGGGUUUAAUGUGUGAUUAUAGAUUUAAUUUUUCUUCUCGGUUAUUCUUUUUGAAGAAAUUGCAAAUAUGUUACUUCAAUGGGGUUUAAUGCAUGAUUAUGGAUUUAAUUUUUUUUCUCGGUUGUUCUUCAUGGGAACUUUUUGGAUGUUUUUUUUAAAUCUUUCAUUAUGUUAGGACAAAUUGGUACUCAUAUUAUGUAAGUUGUAAAUAGUUACUUUUUUCUUUUUUAAAUUUUUUAAUUUUGAUGUUUUUUAAUUUCAGUAGAUUAGUUUAAAUUUACGAAUCAACUGAGUUGUGGUUUAAAUUAAAAAUGUUUUUAUUAAGUGAAUCAACCAUUAGUAUCAGUUAUACCUUGAAAUCUUUAACUUAAGUUUAGUUUUCGAAUAGCUUCAAUUAAAAAUUCUUAUCUAUUUCAUCACAAGUCUUCUUAUAAAGUCAAUGACAACUUCAGUUUACUUUGGGUAUUUUAAUUUAUUUUUUUUACAAUGGGUGUUUAAUAUCUGUCUCUCUCUUUCACAGCAGUAGUUUAUCUUAUUCUUUGCUUUUUAUAGUUUUCUUUUUAUUGAAUGGGUUUGCUAACUAUUAAUUAAAAUGGUGGUUUUUUAAAGGUUGAGUGACUCCGGGUUUUGUAUAUUGAAUUUAUUUUGGUGGAUCGAGGUUCCAAUUUGGAUAGGUUUGAUUUUUUGUUCAAUUUUUAUGGGGUUUAAUGCGUGAUUAUAGAUUUAAUUUUUCUUCUCAGUUGUUCUUUUUGAAGAAAUCACAAAUAUGUUACUUGAAUGGGGUUUAAUGCGUGAUCAUGGAUUUAAUUUUUCUUCUCGGUUGUUCUUCAUGGGAACUUUUUGGAUGUUUUUUUUAAAUCUUUCAUUAGGAGUUAGGACAAAUUGGUACUCAUAUUAUGUAAGUUGUAAAUAGUUUCUUUUUUCUUUUUUAAAAUUUUUAAUCUUGAUGUUUUUUAAUUUCAGUAGAUUGGUUUAAAUUUACGAAUCAACUGAGUUGUGGUUUAAAUUAAAAUUGUUUUUAUCAUGAAUUUUUUAUCAAGUGAAUCAACCAUUAGUAUCAGUUAUACCUUGAAAUCUUUAACUUAAAUUUUUGAAUAGCUACAGUUAAAAAUUCUUAUCUAUUUCAUCAUAAGUCUUCUUAUAAAGUCGACAACAGCUUCAGUUUAACUUUGGGUGUUUUAAAUUUAUUUAUUUUACAAUGGGUGUUUAAUCUCUGUCUCUCUCUUUCACAGCAAUAGCACACACACACACCCCCCAUUAUACUGCCACCAAUACAGAUUUAUUAUUUAAAUCAUUAACCAAAUGAACCGUUUGUUGAAAUGAUACUAAGAAAACUUUAUUUGAUUGUAAGUCCAUAUCUUUUCCUAAAUAAAUUAAUUAUUUGUUACAAUCUCUCUAAAUUCUUACUUAUAGCAAUCUAAAUCAUUCCCCCUACAUACAAAUAUGUGUUCUCAUUUGUUUUUUAGAUAAUUCAGGGUGAAGUAAGGGGUCUUGUGUUUCGGAUUUACAAUUAUUUUAUUUUGACUCACAUAUUUCGAUAAUUUUUAAAUUUUAAAUAUUUUCAAGUAUAUAUUGAGGGAUACAUGGUGUCAGUUGUAAAGAAUAUACUUGGUGUAAGCUAUAAAGUAAAGGGUCUUAUGCUCAACAUGUUGUUUCUCUAUUUUCUGCAUGGAUGUAUUCUUUGUGUUCCGUCUUUUGUAAAUUUAGCUAAUUAUACAUAGUUAUGAUGAUUUUGAGUAUGGAAUAAUGGGUUUUUUGGUGGUUUGGAUAUGUAUGGAUGAUUGUAAAUUUUGUAAACAGGUUUUGGUUUUUCUGGAUAUCUAUUUUUAAAGGAAACUCUGCCGAAAUUUUUUGAUAUUAGUAGCGACUAGCUUGAUGUUUUGGUGGUUGGAUGUGUUGAUGAUUGAGUUUGUAUUAAUUUCUUCAUGUAUGUAUUUUUUGUGUUCCGUAUUUUGUAAAGUUAACUAAUUAUACAUUGUUAUGAUGAUUUUGGGUAUGGAAUGAUGGUUUUUUUUGUGGUUUGGAUAUGUAUGGAUGAUUGUAAGUUUUAUAGACAGGUUUAUAUUUGUCUGGAUAUCUAUUUUUAAAGGAAAUUCUGUCGAAUUUUUUUAAAAUUAGUAGCGACUAGCUUGAUGUUUUGGUGGUUAGAUAUGUGUUGAUGACUGUGUGUAUUUUGUGUGUUCCAUAUUUUGUAAAGUUAACUAAUUAUACAUGGUUAUGAUGAUUUUGGGUAUGGAAUGAUGUUUUUUUUUUGUGGUUUGGAUAUGUAUUGAUGAUUGUAAGUUUUGUAGACAGAUUUAGAAUUUUCUGGAUAUCUAAUUUUAAAGAAAAUUUUGCCGAAUUUUUUUGAAAUUAGUACCGACUAGCUCGAUGUUUUGGUGAUUGGAUAUGUACUGAUGAUUGAGUAUGUAUUAAUUGUUGCAGUGGUAUGUGUCUUUAGAUAAUGUAAUAUUUUUCGAAUUUUAAUUUAAUUUUUCAUUACGCCGUGCCUUCAGGCACGGAUUAUAGCUAGUAUAUAUAUAUACUAGUUGUGUCCCGUGUCUCGGCACUACAUGGACGGUGGGAUUUAUCCCAAACUUUGAACCACCCAAAUGAUUUAUUAGGGUGAGUGAAAAAUUCAAAAUCAGUUGUAUUUUGUUAUAUAUAUAUAUAUAUGGUAAAAAUGGAGGUAUACAGCCGUGUAAUUUUCAAAGUUACACGGUCUACGAUUUCACUCUACGAUCGUAGAGUAGUCACUCUACGAUUUGUAAAUUAACUCUACGAUCGUAUAAUAAAGUCACUCUACCNNNNNNNNNNNNNNNNNNNNNNNNNNNNNNNNNNNNNNNNNNNNNNNNNNNNNNNNNNNNNNNNNNNNNNNNNNNNNNNNNNNNNNNNNNNNNNNNNNNNUAAUAACGAUUUUAGCAUUUCCAAAGGAUAAAAAUGGAAUUAGAAAAUAACGAUAAUACCUGAGAUUGAGGGACGACUUGAGCUUCAUUGUUUAAGAAUGUAUUGUAGAUACUUCUUCGUUGCUCAAUUACAAAAACUCCAGUGAAAAUGCUUCCCAGCGCAGCACCAAGCAAACGCUCCUGCGUAACCCUAAACACAUCAAAUUCCCCGGGAAAGAAAGAGAAAUUAAAAAUGAGAUUAUACAAUUGGCUCUGACCUGAGUAAGGACGCUGAUCAUGGUUCCUUUUUCACCUCUUUCGAUUGAUUCUUUGAAAUGCAAAUAUUAAAGGUUUUUUCAGGUUGGUACUGAAUUUAAAGGAAUACGAAAAAAAUAAGGUUUACAUUUAGAUUAUUACUAUUAUAUUUAUAGGAGUAUUAAUUUGUUGUGUUUGUAAAUUGUAAUAAGAAGGUAUUUGCUGGUUAAGAUAAGUUUAUUUUUGGGUAAGUUGGUCAAUUGAUAAUAGAAUGUUGAUAUGCAAGCGAGACUCUAUGUGUGUUAGUAUUUUAUUAAACAAUUGAUCGAUUUACCAAAAAAUAAAUUUCAUGUUAACCGAAUCCAUUUUCAGUACUUUUCUUAUUUAGUUUUGGGUUUAAAUAUGUUUAUAUUUUGGAUGAAAAUUUAUAGUAAGAAAAGUGUUCAAAUUUUUUGUCUAUUUUUUUUAUUGAGUAAUGUUAUAAACAUAAAUUAUUUUAUAAAUAGUUUACAAACUUUUGAUAUGGCAUACUCCACCUAAUCACAUUGAUUAACAAAUUGUUUCAAUAUAAUAUUCGGUCCUAUACAAUAUGAUAAGGUGGAGUAUGUCACAUCAGCAGUUUGUGACUUUAACAUUAUUUUUUUUAUUUAGUAUAAAAUUCAGUAAUUGAUAAUAAGAAUAUUAGACAAAAAGAUUAAGUUUUCCGGAUAUUUUUAUAGAGUUCCACUUUGCACUAAGCCGCAUUAUAAUAAUAAAUUAGUUUUACGAAAAGAAAAUAAUUAAGGAAAGUUAAAAAGUACUUAUAUCUUUUAUUCAUUAUAUAUAUAUAUAUAUAUAUAUAUAUAUAACAUUUUCGUGCAAGCGUGUUGAUAAAUAAUGUGUAUAUAUUUAAAGGGUGUAUUCAAUUAAGAUUUUUUAAAAAAAAAUUUAAGUAAAAUACUUUUGUAGAAUUUAUGGAAUUUUAAUGAUUUUCAAAGAUUUUAACGAUUUUUUUAAAAUGACUUUUAUAGACUCUAUGAAAUAAGUAACAGACUUUUAUAAAUUUUUUAUCAAGACUGUGAUAGAUUUUUUUAUACUUCUAAUAUAUCUUACGACUUAUAUUAAUUGUUAAUUAGCCCAUGUGUAUAACAUCUCCCUCUUUUUUCAUGAACUAGAGUAAAUCUCAUUAUAUUAUUGUGGCAUGAGAUUUUAUAUAUGUUGAAAGCGUUCAUAUUAUUGUACUCAUUUCAUAAUACACUUGGAUACUCGAAUACCAAUAAAACUUUAGAAACUACUGACGCAAUACAAAAAUUAAGCUCAAUGACGCAAUACAAAAAUUAAGCUCACUUUUCAUUGAGCUAUAUAUACUUUAUACAUAUGCGUACGCUAUUUUGGAAUUAUUAUUUUUCAUUUCAGUCUACAAAAGUUGUCAUCAAUACUUAUUAACGUAACUAGCAAUUAAAAAAUUAAUAUAAACAUUUGCAAUAUAUAUCAAUUUCUAUUCAAAUAUUUGAAUAUUACCUCGUCUUAGUGUAAGACCCCGAUUUUUUUUUUUUAUAAAUAAAAUGGAAUUUUCUUUAUUUAUUAUUUUGAAAUAAUAAUGGUUGAUUUGAUUAAUGUGGUUAGUUAUGGGUAAAAUGCGUAAAUUUUACAAAAUAAGCAAGUGGUUAUAAAAUAUUCAUUGUUGUCGGGGAAUAUUCGUUUGGUCGUGGAAUAUUCGUACUGUCGGGGAAUAUUCGUACGACGGCGCAGCCAUGUGUGGGCCCCAUAACGAAAAGCGAUUGGAGGAAGAAAACGACAAAUAUAAGUUGUUUAAAAAUAACNNNNNNNNNNNNNNNNNNNNNNNNNNNNNNNNNNNNNNNNNNNNNNNNNNNNNNNNNNNNNNNNNNNNNNNNNNNNNNNNNNNNNNNNNNNNNNNNNNNNNNNNNNNNNNNNNNNNNNNNNNNNNNNNNNNNNNNNNNNNNNNNNNNNNNNNNNNNNNNNNNNNNNNNNNNNNNNNNNNNNNNNNNNNNNNNNNNNNNNNNNNNNNNNNNNNNNNNNNNNNNNNNNNNNNNNNNNNNNNNNNNNNNNNNNNNNNNNNNNNNNNNNNNNNNNNNNNNNNNNNNNNNNNNNNNNNNNNNNNNNNNNNNNNNNNNNNNNNNNNNNNNNNNNNNNNNNNNNNNNNNNNNNNNNNNNNNNNNNNNNNNNNNNNNNNNNNNNNNNNNNNNNNNNNNNNNNNNNNNNNNNNNNNNNNNNNNNNNNNNNNNNNNNNNNNNNNNNNNNNNNNNNNNNNNNNNNNNNNNNNNNNNNNNNNNNNNNNNNNNNNNNNNNNNNNNNNNNNNNNNNNNNNNNNNNNNNNNNNNNNNNNNNNNNNNNNNNNNNNNNNNNNNNNNNNNNNNNNNNNNNNNNNNNNNNNNNNNNNNNNNNNNNNNNNNNNNNNNNNNNNNNNNNNNNNNNNNNNNNNNNNNNNNNNNNNNNNNNNNNNNNNNNNNNNNNNNNNNNNNNNNNNNNNNNNNNNNNNNNNNNNNNNNNNNNNNNNNNNNNNNNNNNNNNNNNNNNNNNNNNNNNNNNNNNNNNNNNNNNNNNNNNNNNNNNNNNNNNNNNNNNNNNNNNNNNNNNNNNNNNNNNNNNNNNNNNNNNNNNNNNNNNNNNNNNNNNNNNNNNNNNNNNNNNNNNNNNNNNNNNNNNNNNNNNNNNNNNNNNNNNNNNNNNNNNNNNNNNNNNNNNNNNNNNNNNNNNNNNNNNNNNNNNNNNNNNNNNNNNNNNNNNNNNNNNNNNNNNNNNNNNNNNNNNNNNNNNNNNNNNNNNNNNNNNNNNNNNNNNNNNNNNNNNNNNNNNNNNNNNNNNNNNNNNNNNNNNNNNNNNNNNNNNNNNNNNNNNNNNNNNNNNNNNNNNNNNNNNNNNNNNNNNNNNNNNNNNNNNNNNNNNNNNNNNNNNNNNNNNNNNNNNNNNNNNNNNNNNNNNNNNNNNNNNNNNNNNNNNNNNNNNNNNNNNNNNNNNNNNNNNNNNNNNNNNNNNNNNNNNNNNNNNNNNNNNNNNNNNNNNNNNNNNNNNNNNNNNNNNNNNNNNNNNNNNNNNNNNNNNNNNNNNNNNNNNNNNNNNNNNNNNNNNNNNNNNNNNNNNNNNNNNNNNNNNNNNNNNNNNNNNNNNNNNNNNNNNNNNNNNNNNNNNNNNNNNNNNNNNNNNNNNNNNNNNNNNNNNNNNNNNNNNNNNNNNNNNNNNNNNNNNNNNNNNNNNNNNNNNNNNNNNNNNNNNNNNNNNNNNNNNNNNNNNNNNNNNNNNNNNNNNNNNNNNNNNNNNNNNNNNNNNNNNNNNNNNNNNNNNNNNNNNNNNNNNNNNNNNNNNNNNNNNNNNNNNNNNNNNNNNNNNNNNNNNNNNNNNNNNNNNNNNNNNNNNNNNNNNNNNNNNNNNNNNNNNNNNNNNNNNNNNNNNNNNNNNNNNNNNNNNNNNNNNNNNNNNNNNNNNNNNNNNNNNNNNNNNNNNNNNNNNNNNNNNNNNNNNNNNNNNNNNNNNNNNNNNNNNNNNNNNNNNNNNNNNNNNNNNNNNNNNNNNNNNNNNNNNNNNNNNNNNNNNNNNNNNNNNNNNNNNNNNNNNNNNNNNNNNNNNNNNNNNNNNNNNNNNNNNNNNNNNNNNNNNNNNNNNNNNNNNNNNNNNNNNNNNNNNNNNNNNNNNNNNNNNNNNNNNNNNNNNNNNNNNNNNNNNNNNNNNNNNNNNNNNNNGUGUGGAUAUUGUCUAGACGGCAAUAUCUGUAUUUAAACUCACAGUAUGUAUUGUCGUAUUUCACACGACAUUUGUAUUAUUGAAGUUGUAGUUAUUUCUGUACCAUGUAUUUGGCGACUCAGAAUGGGUUGGGUGGAAUGGACCUGUUUUGGGGGCGUCACACUUAGUAUCAAAAUUUGCAAAUAAAAAUAAUAUAUACUUGUUUCAUGUAUAUUUUAAAAUAGCAAGUUAUUUUUUAAAUAAAUUUUUUUUAUUUAUAUUCUUUUUAAUAAAUUUUAGUUUAGUAAUGUAACAUAUAGUAAAAUUAUGAUAAAAAGCUUGAAGAACUUAUAUAUUUUAUACAACUAUAUACAGUAAAACCUCUAUUUAAGAAUAGACUUUGGACCAAACUAUUUGUAUUCUAAUUAAGAGGUAUUAGUACAAAAUAUUUUCCGAACACCCAAAAAUAUUCACUUUAACAAAAAUAUAGAUUUUAUAAUAAAAAUUAAAGAAAACAUAAAUUAUUUAGAUUUUUAAACUAAGAAAAUGUAGUUUUUUUUUAUAGAAAAUGUAGUCUUUUAUACGAAAAUAUGGUCUUUUAUAAGAAAUGUAGUAUUUUAUAAGAAAAUGUAGUCUUUUAUGGAAAAUAUAGUCUUUUAUUGGAAAAUAUAAUUUUUUUAUAAGAAAUGUAUUCUUUUAUAGAAAAUGUAGUCUUUUAAAAUUAAUAUUGUCUCUCUCUCAUAUAUAUAUAUGAAAUUAUUACUAUAUAGAGGUAUAAUUUUUUAAUACGGGACUGAAAAAGUAUAUAACAUAUUACAAUUUAGAGGUUAUUCUUAUUUAUAACUGGCCCAAAUUGGGACCAAAUUUUUUUAUAAUAUUAUAGAGGUUAUUCUUAUAUAGAGUAUUCUUAAAUAGGGGUUUUACUGUAUCAAUAUAAAGUACAUACUCCUAUAUAAAUUACUUUCCAUCUCUCUCACUUUUUUUUUCUUCAUUUAACUCUGAUUCUAAGUUAAUUUACGAAAUUAUAAAAUUUUAAAACAUUGUGUAUUUAUUUUUAUUUUUAAAUAAUAACAUGUGUUUAUUAUUAAAUAACAAAUAAAUUCAAAUUUAAAAAUUUUGAAUUUUAAAUUUGUACGUUGACUACAAAAACAAAAUAAAUAUUUUAUUUUUGUGGGUACAGCAGAAGUAUUAAUUAUUCUAGAUUAUAAAGUAAUUAGAAAUAUUGGAUUCAUGUGAAGUAAUUAGAAAUAUUGGAUUCAUGUGAAUUGUAUUUUAAAUUUAUUUAGUUUAUUAAGAUGAGAUAUGAAGUCUUUAGAAAUCUUUAGAGAUGAGGUCAAACUUUGGAUAUGGGUUGAUAGUUAUAAUUCUUUUUCUAAAAGUCUGUCAAACUCUACCAUUUAAUAGAAAUUUGAAAAGUCUAUGACUUUUUGAAUACCAAAAUAUUUUUAUAGACUUUGUAAAAAUCUUAAUUCAAUAUCACCUAACUUUUAAAGACAUUAAAAAAGUUAUAAUUGAAUACAACUAAACUUUUAUAAACUCUUUAAAUGUCUUGAUUGAAUACAACCAAAUUUUUAAAAUAUUUAAAAGUCUUUAAAAAUCUUAAUUGAAUACACCCCCUAAAUAUGCAUAAAAUAAUAUAGAGAAAUAUAUGUAUUUAUAUAUAUUAAAAAAUAUAAAUAAUUAAUUUUUUUAUUCACUCUAUUCUGUAUUUCUGUUAAAGUUGUGAAGUUAUAUUAAUCGAAAGUCGGUAGAAUUAAUUUUAGAUUUUACUAUCUAAUAAGAAAGAGAGAGAAAAGAUAAAUAAUUAAUAUGAUAGUAAGAGAAAGUAAAUGAAAUGAAAAAUAAAAAUUCAACGAACAAUUCAUUAAUGCAAGUGCGAUGAAUAAUACUUUAUCAACUUAGUUUGACUUAGGUUGUAUUUGAUAAAAUUGAGAAUUAAGAUCUGAAUGAUUAUGAUGUCUUAAUAAAUUAGAUCAUCUGAAUGGUUAUGAGGUCUGAAUUUAAAAAAUUGUUUAAUAACUAAAAAGUAAGUUGUCUCUUAAUGACACUAUUUUAUCAUUUUAAAGGGUAAAUUUUAUUUAAUAAUUUUAAAUAUUCAAUUUAAUAAAAAUGAGUGCAUAAUAUUGUUGAAUAUAUUUAUAUAAAAAAAUUAUCAAUUUUUUUUUAUUAAGAGGUACCUCUUAAUUAUUAAUUUUGUCUUACCGUUUAAGAGGCAUUUAGAGGUAACAAAAAAAUAACAAAAAAUAUCAUGCCUCUUAACGAAUAAAAGACAGUUCAUUUAGAGACAAUCAGAUGUAAACAAAAUAACACCUUAAUUAGUUUAACUCAAUUAACUAAAUUAUCAUUAAAAAAUAUAUAUACUCUCUCUCUUGAUACUUUCAAACUUGGAAGAAAAGAGGAAUCACCCAGACUUUUUAAAUGAUACACGUGGAUUAAAUAUUUUGGAAUUGAUUAGUAUGAAGUUAAUUUUGAUCGAUUGACUAAUACAGUGUUAACACGUAGUCUGAAAGGUGAUCUCUCUUUGCGUUGCGUGUCAGUAAUGUAUUUAUCAAUUAACUAACUUACUAUGAAAGAAGUUACCUUCAUGGUAAAUGAAUCCAAAUAUUUCUAAAAAGAUAAUUAAAAUGAUAAAAAAAAAUUAUCCUCAAAAGCACGAGGAACAAGUAAACUACAUGCUCUUAAGGACAAGUAAAUUAGAAAAAAAAAAAAACAAGAAGUAAACUACAUAAAUUUAUACAUAGACUAAUUUAUCUUUGAAUAAGUAUUAAGUAGUUUACAUUAAUUCUCUUUCCCCAAAUCCAAAAUACAAUAAUAGAUUGGGAAAAAAAAUAAUUAUACUCUCCCCUAAUUUUGUGUUUAUCUUAAUUUAUAAAAAUUAUAUUUUUUGUCAUUCUUUUGAGGUCUAAGAGAGUAUAUAAACCCUUUUAGUCAUAUUAUAUCCAAAAUACAACAUUCAUUAUGUGUUUUACUUUAAUAUUAUGAACUCAUGUACUAUUUAAAACAUUAAUACUAUAAUCUCAUUACCAAAUUAUCAAAACUGAUACAAUAUAUAACAAUUUAAGAGAGGAUACUAAAUUGAAUUAAUUUGGUUAAUUAUUUGUGUUUAUGGGCUUAAAUUUAAUAAUUAAGCUGAAUUGAUGUAAAUUACGCAUCAAAUUAGACUAACUCAAAAUCAACUCUAUUACUUGUUCGUGUAAAAUAAUCUUAAUCAUCAAGAAAAAAACAUCUUAUAUCAUGUGGAAGAAUCAUAUAAAAAAAUUAGAGUCACGUGACUAAAAACGUCAAAUAUAAGCAACAAUUAAAAAGGAAAUCAAUAUCACAAUUAAUUAUUAUAUCUGUUUAUCUCCAAUAAAAUCAUAUUAGCUGUCAUUAUUAUGUACUUGAAGAUAUAAGAUCAGGUGUAAUAAUAUUUAGAAUUGAUUAGCUUCUUUUUUGCUUGUUAAGUUUAUGCAUUUAAUUUUUAAAAAUAAUAAAAUUUUAAAUUAGUAGUAGUAAUUUAUAGAUAAUUAACCAUUUUUAUAAAUAAAUUAACUUAUAAAAAUUUGAACGGUCUUGCUACACUUAUAUAAAAUAAUAUGUCAAAAUUUAAUUAGUAAAUAAUUCAUCAUAGAUAAGUGAGUCAAGUGAUUAUAUUCGACCAAAAUUUUGUAUCUUUUUUAUAUAACAAUUGUUUGACCUUUUUUUUUUUUAAUUUAUAAUAAUUAUUUAGUAUUAUUAAAAUUUGAGACUCACGGACUCACCCAAAUUAAAAAUCCAUUCCCCGUUUCAGAUCUGAUCCUCUUCGUCUCUUCUAUCGAGGCACGUUCACUCUUUCUAUCUACACACAACCACAAACGUUACCUUCCAAAUUGCAAGUAGCAACCGCCCUGACUCCCAUUUUUCUAAAAUAUUCUCUUUUCUCCACUUAAAUUUUCAGUUCCAUUCAACAAUGGCGAUGAUAUUUCAUAGACUCUCAUUCGCAAUCCUCUUAUCACUUCUCUUAGUCCAAUCCACUCUCUCCGCAGAUCCGCCCGAGUCCUCACCUACUCCGUUGCCGGAACCAAGCACUGCUCCCCUCUCUCCUCCACCUUCCAGUCCCUCGCCUUCGCCGGAACUCCAUUCUCCACCAGCGCCCCAGCCGUCCGCUCCAGGUUCGGCUCCUGCGCCGUCAAACUCCUCUUCGCCGGCUCCGGCUCCGGCUCCGGCUCCGGAUGUUAAGAGUGAUGUAAAUAACGAGAACGAGAGUUCUGAGAAUGUAGAUGGUAAGAAGUCGUCCGGUGGAAUGAGCGGCGGGCAGAAGGCCGGAAUUGCUUUCGGAGUUAUCGCCGGCGCAUGUGUAGUCAUAGUGGGAGGAGUAUUGUACAAAAAACGACAGGGUAAUAUCCAGCGAUCUCAGUACGGGUACGGCGCUAGGAGAGAAAUGCUCUAGAAGAUUCAUACAUAUAUUUUUAGAAAAAUUUAUCUCUACAUAGAUGAAUCUUUUGCUAACAUUGAGUUUGCGAAGUGGUGAUUUGUUAAAUUCUUUAUUACUAUAAUAAUUUUAAUUUUUCCCCGAUCUUUUUGGAUUGAAUUGAUAGUGGUCGGUUGAUAUUAGUGGUAAUUGUCAUUAAAGUAAAACUGGAAAACAAAAGGUAAAAUAGCACUUGAGUUGGUGAUAAUUUUGUACCAACAUGUAUCAAAUUUUGAUACAUUUCUGCGUUGAUAUACACACUGCACCAACUUGUCAUCGUUUUGGUUGUUAAUAUUAGUAAAAUCUUACCCUCCUUUCAUUUGUUUGGAUUUGGCUACAUCCAUUCACAUUUCUCCACUCCCUUUCAAUACACUAAAUUUUGAUGAAAAAUAAUUUUGUUAGUAAUAAUCAAAAUAAGUUAAUAUAUAGUUUAUGGCAGUAUCAAUUCUACAAAAAAUUAAAAUCAUAAUGUUAAAAGUGUAAAAAAAUUCAAUCAAAUGGUGAAAAAAUAUUAUAUUAUUUUUAAAACAAUUACGCCAUUCAAUAUAAUAAAUCAGUAGGAUCUAAUCCCAUUUUUUGUUUAUAUAGUAAUUGUUUUUACAAUUGCGAAACUUAUGAUAUAAAUUAUACAAAAGUUUCAAUUAUUACACAUUUCUUUAUAAAAAUUACUAUUAAUACUUAUUCACGUAAUCUACAAUCAAAUAAUCAAUAAUAAACAUUUAAAAUAUAUAUUAUAUCAUUGUUUGAAGCUUCAAUUAGAGUAGAUCUAAUCAUAUGUAUAAAUGCAAUAAUUUCAUAAUUUCCUUAAAAAUCCGUGUUUUACAAAUUUAUCUCUAAUUUUUUAAUGAAAGGACCUACCUAUUUAUUUCAUCUCUUCUUUGUGCCACAUGUUCUAACUUUUAGUUGUUGGAUGAAUUAAUUUUCCCGGUUUUAUGAUCUUGGCUUUUUUAAUUUGUUUAAGAGUUUCAUGGUGAGUUUUUCAAUAAGAUGGUUAAAGUUCCAACUCUUAUAUUAAAAAAUAAAAUAAAAAUCUGAGAUUAAAUAUAGAACUUAGGCUAUAUUUAUUUAUAAAAAUUAUACUUAGAUUAUUAAUCUCAAAUGUCUUGUUUGUUUUUAAAUUUGAGUUUGAGAUUAUAAUGAUUAUAAAAUAGCUUAAUAUGUGAGAUUAUUUAAUAUCACGUUCUACCUGAUAUUAUAAUCACUACCAUUUGAAAUUAAUAAUUACUAGACAAAACUAACCUCAACCCUUUUCUAAAAUGUUUAUAAUAUCAUGCAAUUUCUGUUUAAAUACAUAUCAAUUUUAAAUUUUAAAAUUUUGUGAAACGAAGAGAGUAAUACAAAACAAUGUGGAAACUGGUAAGCACUACAACACUAAAUCCUUGCUGAUAUAUUUAUAUGUUUUUAGUUAUAAAAAUAAUGGAAACCAAAGCCUAUUUGUCUGAUUGACUGAUAAUCUACACACAAAGAAUCUGCUCUUUGAUGUGAGGAUCCGUCAACCAGGAUCACAAUGAUUUUAUAUGUAAUCUAAUUGUAAGCAUUCAUCUCGCCUUACAUAUAGCAGGCUACUAAAGGGAACAAGUUCCCACACCAGCAUUGAUCUAAGAAGCUAGGGAAGAAGAAACCCAAGAUACAGACAAUAAAUAGUGCCUACUGCAGAACCCUACUCUUCUGCAGGAGGGUCGACCCAGCGGCCAUGAUCUUUUAUUAGCUGGAUUAAGGCACCAGUUGCUUGCUCCAUUGCGAUUGCUCGUUUUACCACCGUCUGAAAUACAACCAAUGAUCAUUAAGGUCAAAAAUUUUGGUCAUAUAAAGACAUCAUAAAAUCAUUCUAUAAGAAAAAUUGAUAAGCAAAUGAAUCAAUGAUCAAUUAUAUCUUGCUCCUCUAAUUCAAUUAAUUAAGCCACUUGUUUAUAACUCGGAAAGUUUAUGGAGAUAUAAAGUAAAUAAGAAACUAUAAAUGAUGAGAAAAGUUUCAACAAUCCAUGACACCUAGUUUUAGCAUUAUACUUGAUAUCAUGUUUAUUUUUCCAAAUAUGUACUUUGUAUUCAUUUUCAUUUUCAUUGAAAGAAUGUUUUAUAUUUUUUAUUUUACUGUUACUUUUCUUUUCUUUGUCCAUCCCUUCCCAUCACUUUUUUCGAGUUCAAAGGAAAUGCAAAGCUCUACUUCAGAUUACAAGCGUUGUUCAUCUCCAAGAGAUGAAAUAACCUACUCCUACAUUCUAAGAAGGCUUCACAACAGAUGGACUUCAACAGAUUUCUCCAUCCUUUGAUGAAGAUUAAGGCAAAUUUGAGCACGAUUGUACGAUCUAAAGCUACAGAAUAAGGGGACAGGGAAAUUUCUGGGAAAAGCUGCUCCUAAAAGAACUUGGCAUGAUGGGUUAAACACCACUGAAGUUUAAAUGCAUAAGCUAUUAGUGCAGUGUAAACCUAAUUCUACAUAAAUUGAUGAAAUAUAAUGACGGUGAUUGAUAUUAAAUCAACUCGAGCUAGAGAAAUAUCGAUUCCAACAAUGAUAACGAGUUUUUCAAACAUCCUAAUUACAGAGCUAGUAGUUCUAGCUUCCAAUUUUUGUCCAAGUACAAGUGGGUAUGCAUAUGCAUGCAAGAAAGGAUUGGGUAAGAAUUUAUAACAUUAACCGAGAGACCAAACACUAAGCCAUGUCUCAUGUCAAAGAGAAGUAAAAGUUUUACCUUCCCGACGUAAAGGUCAAUCUUUCCUGGAGCACCACCAACAUACCCAAAAUCUGCAUCAGCCAUCUCCCCUGGUCCAUUUACAAUACAACCCAUGAUUGCGAUCUGCAACAAAAAAGAGAAAGAAGUGAGUGACACAAUACAUUUGUUUACUCAGAGUAGAAUUGGUUCUAAUCGAAAUUAUCUGAUCACGGAGGACAAAGAGGGAUGGUGAUUACUGAAACACCAGGCAAGUGCGAUGUCUUCUCUCUUAUUUCUGCACUUAUUUCUUGAAGGUCAAAUAAAGUCCUGCCACAAGAUGGGCAUGAGACAUAUUCCUGCAAUAAGAAUGAGGAUAACUAUCAAGUAAAUCAGUAAUUGUUAUCAUCAAUUUCAACUAUUUUGGUUCCAAAUUAAUCCAUACCGUCUUUGUAUUCCGCAUUCUGCAACCUUGUAGCAAAUUGAAAGAUGUAUUCCUAAGAAAAUCAAAAUCCUGGUCUGGGGCUUCUAAUAAGAUACCAUCUCCAAGACCAUCUACUAAAAGAGCUCCAGCAUUGGUACCAGCACCAAUGACUAAGUCAUCCCUAAAAGUAAUCAGAGAAAAUGUAAACACAAAAUGUCUCUGACUCUCAUAAUUAGUGUUGGUUAUGUGGUUACCUGUGAAUUCCUUUUGGAAAUUUUAUGUGAUGAAUUACAGGGAAGUUCAAAGAAUUUUCUGAAAGAUAUUCAAAUAGCCUGCCAUCAUUAAACCAUUCAGAGUAUCAGCACCUUCAAUAGUUGGGUUUUUUUUGGGGGGUGGGGGGAUUCAAAAUGACAAUUGUCCAUAUACUACUGUCCAUUUAUGUUUCAAUGUGAUAAAGCUACAUCAAACCAAAUGCUUUAAUCAAAUUGAUGAGAAUUAAUGGCUAAUUUAGUUUAGUACUCUAAGUUGGAAUUUGGUUCCAUUUCUUAUUGCAAUAUAUUUGAGCUAGUAGAUCAGGAAAUACUCAUUUAAUCAAAAUGCUAUUUGGACAUGACACAUGUGGCAGCUAAACUAAUUCUUCAUUCCAAACCAAUCUGGGUUGUGCAUAAGAUAACUCGCACACUAUUGGAGGGUCAAGGAAGUGCAGUUCUUAAAUCUGGCAUAAGUUGAUAUUGUCUCAUUUGGUAGUACAUAUAUGCAUAUACAUACAUGUGCUUGUGUUCGUCUGUGCAUGUAUGUUUACAUCUAUUUGUUUAUACAGGUCUGUAUGUGCAUGUGUGUGUAUAUAAAUAAAGUUUAUUUACAGCCUCAAUAAAGGUUUUAAUUGCUUAACUCCUUCAACUAAGGUCUAUGCACUAUGCAGUUGAAGAGUCAUUCAUGUUUAUACCUCCUGGCUGCCUGUACUCUGCCAAUUUUCUCUUCAGUAAAUGGUAGGUCAUGGAAAAGCAGGGUAGCAUCAAUGCUCUUUAGGAAUUCCAGCUCUUCAUGUGGUUCAUCACCACGUACAGACACUACCAAGCGUGUGCCUGUAAACAAGUUUUUAACAUAGUAGUUACAAGAGCAUUUUACACUAAGAUUUGCAACCAAUUGAGGGUGCUGAAAGAAUUGUAACUAAAGGCACACCUUCAGGUAAAAGCUUGUGAGCACCAGUUGAUAAUUCCUUGAGAGUAGCAAGGACAAUGGCAUUAGGCAAAGGCUUCGUCAGUUGCUCUGACAGAGGAGUUAUCACUCCCAUGCUUACAUCUAUCAACCUUCUGAGAGCUAGUUGCUGAUCAUGCACAAGGAAUAAUAUCAGUCAUUCUACACUUCAACUCAAUUGAAUUUAAACAACAAAUAACGGUUUAAACUUCAAGGCCGAGUUUAAAACAUUUAUCAUGACUAAAAGAAACUAAAAUGAGGAAUCCUCUCAUCAAAAGUAAAAAGAUCAAACAGGAAGUAGAGUCCUUACAGCAUCUUUAUCAUCUACUGGUGGAAGCUCUCUUAAUAAGAUUGAGUCCACAGUUGCCAGGUCCUAAAUCAACAUCAGUCUGAUUAAUAACCAGUUAUGCAUACCGUAGAUGCAAAAAGUUCUUUGUGUAGACAUUUUGCAAUAAAAAGAAAGUGGAAGUAAACCUUAAAUGGCAUGCCAACAACGAGUUUCGCAGCUAGAGAUCUGUAGAGGAGUUCAGGUGUCUGACCAAAGGGAGAAGAAAAUUUUAAGAUAGAAGCUCAGACAGCAAAUAUGAAAAAAAACAUGCAAGUUAGAAAAAAACAAGAAAUUUCAUAUGGAAGUACUUAAUAAAAGAUUAUCAAAUAGGAUAAAAGAACUCCAAUUCUAAGUGCAACCUUCAACUGAUCCAAGGAGACAGACAUGAGAACAGAGCCAUCUCGGUGGAGGGCACCUCUAUAAUCUACCUCCUCGCCCUGUUAUAAAAUCAAGUGAAUAAUUAUAAGUUUCAGAAGCUAUCUACUGUAACAAGUUGGUACAGGGUAUAAAUUUCCCUUAAUCUGACCUCCUGUUGCACUGGAAGUUGACCAGUUCUUCGCUGAAAAUCAAAAUAACGUCUGUGCUUUUCUUCAAAUGGUGCCUGAUUAAAUAAUUAGCAGGGUACUAUAUAAAAAUGUAGUUAAAAAGUUUAAAAUUUAGAGUGCUUAAGGAUAGAAGUGAAUGAAAAAUAUAGUAAAUCUUACCACGCCUUGCUGCAAAUUAGCAGCUCUCAUACCAAGGUUAGCUAGCCUACUGCAGGGGUCUAUUUCUUCCUCUGGAGGUUCUGUAAGGGAAACUCUGAUCGUAUCCCCCAAACCAUCCUGUAUAUAAAAAAUUGUAAAGAUUACAUGAUUGUGGUUUCCAGAAUCUACUAGAACAUAGUAAGGUUCAAAAUAAAUUUACCACAUGAUUUAAAUCAGAUAAAUUUCAUCCAAAUGGAUGUGGAAUUCACUAGAAUGACAAAGCAUAUGAUUUCUUAAUGCUCAUAUUCCAAUCAAUAUAGAAUUUAUUAUAUAGAAAAGCACCUGAAGAAGUGUUCCAAUGCCAAUUGCAGACUUCAUCCGUCCAUCUUCUCCCUCACCAGCUUCAGUAACUCCCAAGUGUAAUGGAUAAUCCCACCCCUGAACAUACAUUUCUGCUACAAGUAGACGGUAUGCCUGGACCAUGACAACUGGGUUGCUUGCUUUCAUUGAGAAGACAAAAUUAUGGAAGUCCAGCUUCCUACAAAUUCUUGCAAACUCAAAGGCAGAUUCAACCUGUUUUAAAUCAAUAUGUGGACGAUACCGUUGAGUUCAGUACAAUGAUAAAAAAGAUAAGCAGGUAAUCUUCUAGUAGCUUAACAAAAGAUCUGUUUACCAUUCCCCUAGGAGAAUCUCCAUAGUAACUCAUUAUACGAUCUGAAAGGCUCCCAUGGUUUGUCCCAAUGCGCAUUGCCCUUCCAUAUUUCUUACAUUUCUCAACCAACGGAGUAAAAACCUGGUAUACCAGAAAGAGAAAAUAUAUGAGACAUGUAAACCACAUCUUUGGUGAAAGGCCCAUAUUUUCAUUUUAUCUUAUUUUGUAAAUGUGAAUAAUAGAGAAUAUAUCUGAGUAGAAUCAGAAUGAAUGGAAUAUGAGGCUAUUAGACAUAGGCAUGCAAAACACCAUGGUAGGCGCGAGGACAACAUUAUUGUUUCUUACUUCUCUUUCUUGUCUUCUUUCCUAGGUUAUAGGUAGUUAACUUCGACAUGCAGAUGACUGGUUGCUACUUGUUAGUUGAAAUAGAGUUCUCAGAGAAAUAUUAAAAUGAAUGGAUUGUCAGGCCCCUAGUCCUUUUUAUAAGAAUACACAACAUUAUGACAGUUUGAUAAAAUUAUAAGAAAGAUGAAAAUGAAGACAAUGUCUUUGUGCACCAUCAUUACGUGUGCACGAUGACCACCUCUUACCCUGGUCUCAGUGAUAGCAUAGCCUUUUAAGACUUGUUGUCAGAGUGUUCAUUUAAUUUAGAAGGAAAUGUGGAGCAAGGUAACAUGGGAGUUGUUUCAAACUGGAAUUACUUUCAGUUUAAAAACGGUUUCUAUUAUGAAGUCCAAAUCUUGCUCUAGUUCUGUUUUUUUUUGUGUUUGAUAGGAAAUCCUAGAAUAGAUGAAGUUUUUUCCUUAAUUCUUUCUUCCUUUUCUUUAAAUGUAUGGAAUACCAAAAAGAGAUUCUAUCUGUAUGAAAGUAUAGAUGACAUCAUCGGUUAUAGUUGUUAAUAGAGACACGACAAGUUGACUUCCCAUCUAUUUAUACCAUCCAUUUUCACUUCUUUACUUUUUCACUAUAUCCUUGUUUCUUUAUUACAUGCCAUUUUGUGGAAAGAGAAUCGCACUUUAUCAUCAGCACAAUUGUCAAAGGAUGAGUGGUCUGACCUGCUCAAUAUGCUCAAGUUCUUUUUGAUAGUCAUCCUCUGUAUACUCCAGUGUCUCAAACUGAGCACGUCUAUCAGCUGACAGGAAAUGGAAUCCAAUAAAUUAGAUCCAACAUAGUUUUUAUAUAAAAUCUAUCAAUACUUCAAUAGAACCAAUUAGUAGAGAAGGAAAUACCAAAAUUUCCUGGGUUGACACGAAUUUUGUCAAAGCAUUCAGCAACGCGAAUUGCAAUAGGAGGGGCAAAAUGAAUGUCCGCCACCAGAGGUAUGUUAUAACUGCAUAAACAGAUAAUUAGUGAGAUAAAAUACACUCGUACGUAAUAUUGAUUCAAAAUAUCCACCAAAGCAUAUGAUACUUAAGACGACCUACUUUUUUUGAACAAGGGAGUUUUUAAUCUCAAAGCAUGCAUCUGCUUCCUUUUUCCCUUGCACUGUUAUGCGGACAAGAUCAGCUCCCUUAUCAGCUAUCCGCAUCACCUACAAUUAAGGAAAUCAACCUGAUAGUCAGUCAUCUGCAGAAAGAAUGUUAAGAUGGGCAUACAAGCAAUGUCAAAACAUCAAGUGGGGAAUGUUGGGGUGAACCAAAAAAGUUUGACCUUGGGCAUUUCCUAAUCAUAGGAGUUUGAUUAUGAGUCCAAAUGAGCUCGUGAAAAUAUUAAUUCGUAAAAUUUAAUUUCAAUAUAAUUAUAUUUGCAUCUAGUAUGUUGCAUCAAGUGCUGCUGCCUAUAAACCUAGGAGUUUGACUGUAAUACAUCAGAAGCUAUCAUUGAAAAGUUAUCUAUUGUGAUAAUUGUAUGUAUCAUUUACAAUUUCAACCCUUUUUGGUAGGUCCUCUUAAUCAAGUGGAUGGACUGUUUUUAGAAAAGACAGAGAAAACCAGUCAGAAGAGAUGGGUGAUCUUAAACUAUAAAUAGUUUAUGGUGCGUUUAUAUGUGAGGCUUGCACAUAUAUGCUGGUUGAAAGAAAAGGAAAACAAAGCUAUACACUUUGUGUUUCUAAGUCGCUUCAUUACAAUAACUCCAGCUCAUCCAUGUUCAUCAUGAGCUAUUGUAGCAUGUCGUUGUGUAGUGCACAACAAACUUCAAAAGACGUCAGGAAAAGAAAGUAAGGACAGAAAGAAACAUUUCAAGAGAUAAAUGUUAGUAGAAUAGAUAGCUUCUGUUUAAACUUACUAAAUUGGAAGAAAGAAAUAUAGCAGUGGGCCAAUUAUAUUCUAGAUGCUAUCGUAGAAGAGAAAUGGAAAUGUAAGAACCUGCUCCACUGUUCCUGCAACAUCCUUAGUGUCAGUUGUGGUCAUCGUUUGAAUUCUUAUAGGAUGUUCGCUGCCAAUAGCCACAUUUCCAACCAACACCGUGCUGGUUUUUCUCCUUACAGUUUUGUGUGUGGAUUCACAAUACUUUUGCCGAGGAACUACAUUCAAAAAUUAACUGAAUCAUACUUUUAUAUAUACAACGCUAUAAUUUUGCACGAUCCGGUUCGAUAAUUAGGAAAAUACAUUAAAAAAUGUCAACUGCAAAUGUUGUUCUUUUGUCACUGACCAGCAAUAACAAUAACUCACUUGGUAAACUAUGAGAAAGCACGUUCAAGCUCAAAAAAUCAACUUAUGAGUAAAUAAAGCCAGAGGUUAGUAAUAAAUUGGUACACUAGUUCACAUUUAUGUAACUGAAGUUGAUUUUUUUUAAUUAUUAUUCCAAUAACCACAACACAAAUAGCAUAAACCUAAUUAUCUGUUUUUCAUCUUUGAUAGGUAUUUUUGGCCCCAAGUCCGGGGAUUGGAACAUAAGCCUUUAAGUUUAAAAUUUUAGCAUCUAUAAUCUCCUCAAAUUUCUUAGUGCCAAAACUUAAAAGGGUAAAAGAUUGAACUUUACAAUUUAGAAACCUGGCACGAACAGAUUGGAGCUUCAUAUGAAUUUUUACACAACUCACAACAUUCCCAUCACAGAAUUAAAUAAUAUAAAUUAUACCUAAUAGGGGGCUCCCUUCUGAUGCAGGCUGAACUUCGGCAAUUUCUGACCCAGGGUUAGAAUUCCUAAUCACACAGACCUUGGUUCUACGAAACAUUACCCUCUGCAAGUCAGAAACUUUUAUAAAAUCCAUACUUUUAGUAAACCCUAAGCCAUGAUCCUUGCUCUUCAGACCAGUAAAUGAUGUUGGAACGGCUCCAGUUGCCAUUUUCACAAACACAAAGAAUCAAUAUUCACAGUCCUGUAACACACAAACCAAGCUCAAUUAAUCUAAUUUCUAACAUAACUAUACCUACAUAUAUAUAUAUAUAGGUGCUAACUAUAUUUUGGGGGUAUUCCAAAAUUCCUUUCAUAAUAAUCCUCCGUUUGGCAGCUGACAGGCUAAAGGAAGAAGUUACUUUGAGCUUCAUAAGGCCUGUUCGGCCAAGCUGUCCCGUAAGAUUAAGAACUUUCACUAGUAGAUAUAUUAGAGAAAGUGCUUUCGUUUAAAAAUGAAAAAAGUGUUCGGCAAAUAAAGUUUCCUUUCAAAAAAAUUAUGAAAAAUAAUUUGGUAUGUGUAAUCUAAAUUUAGCUCUUCCAAAAGUAUUUUUACACCAAAAACUGUACUUUGUUAUGUCACCAAACACUCUCGAACCCAAUUUUCUUUACUAAAAAUGUUUUUACCCACCUCACCACACCUCAAACCAAACACUUAUUUUAUCUUCUUCCCUCAAAUUGAUCAAGUCGCUGAAAAUAUAUAUAAAGUUGAAACAAACAAGAACACAUUAAUCUGCAUUACCAAAAUUCAUUUCUAGAUUGAGUCUCUGUCUGACAGAUUUAAUACCUAUUACAGUACGAAUUAUGAAACUAUCAAAUCAAAAUACAAAAUUCAUUUAACUGAUCAGAAACGACAGGCUUAAAUUAUUAAAAACACUAAAAAGUCAAACUUCAUAUCUAUCUGCAACAAAAAUAUAAAAACUGCUUUCAAAUUGACAAAAUUAGUAGACGAAAUGAAAAUUUCCUGAACGCAAACUAAGAUUGAGCGAUAAAAUGCACAUACCGUUGGCUGUUUUCUUCUGUAGCUCGAGCUAUUGAGUUGUAUUCUAGAGAGAGAAAGUUGUGGUGGAUGGAGAUCGAAAGACCUGCGUUUGCAAAUUAUAAUGAGUUACGCUUGAAUGAAUUGAAAAAAGAAGACAAAUAAGGGACCAUGAGCAUCUAUUGUUUUAGCAGCGAGUGGCCACACGAUAUAUGCAGUCUACUGGUUGGGGAGGGAGGGAGGGAGGGAGCAAAGUGAGGAAGAUUAUUUAUUUAUUAAUACCCCUAUAUUUUUGUGAUAGUUUUAAAUGUGGCGGUCAAAUUAUUCACUAUUUGGCUGAAUUGGACCAAAAUUCACACGUGGACCCUCUACUAAUUUAUAGCGGGUUUAGAUUUAUUUUUAUAAAUGAAAAUGAUAAUAUUCCAAUAUAGUUUUAUAAUUACUGACUUUUAAGAGAGAGAAAAAAUAUUUAAAUGAAUAUUUAACAUUUGUUAAAAAUAUAAUAACGAAAUUCUUGUCGCUUUAUUGUUCAGAAUUAUCAAUAUAUUUCUAAUUUUAAAAUUAAUUAGGAAAUAUAUAAAUAUUUAAUUUUGAAACGGGUAAAAUAAGAGAAGAUUUGCAUGAAUAUCAUUAGUAUUUGUGAAGAUAUAACUUCCCCAAUCAAAUGCUAAUCCAUAAAUACAAUUAGUUUAAUUACAUUUCAAAAUUAUUGUCCAUUAUAAUUUAUAACUCUUUAAGUUUUUUGAUUUUUUUUAUUAUCCUACAAAAUAUAAUUAGAUCACAUUUAUCCAAAUAAGAAAGAUUGCGUUAGACCAAUAAGCUUAUAAUAAUUAUUUUCUCAAAUUCCUUAUCAAAUACAAAUACAUUGCAUUCAUUUGAUUACCUUAAUAGAGUUUAACAUUGGAUAUAUAUAUAUAUAUAUAUAUAUAUAUAUAUAUAUAUAUAUAUAUAUAUAUAUAUAUAUAUAUUACUCAAACAUUUAUAUACAUUGAAAGAUAUUACUAAUAUUGAAUGCAACUAAUUAAUAUUAUUAGGGAAAUAAAUAUACAUACCGAAAUAAUAAAAACUAUCUUCUCAAAGAAUAUAUUGAAUGCAACUAAUUAAUAUUAUUAAUUCUAGCUAUCACCCUUGUUCUUUCUUUCUUUUUUUGAUUAACAUUUUACGCCUUAUAUUGAAAUGAAUAUAAUGAUUUUUAUUUUUUUCAAAAAAAUGAUAAAUGGUAAUAUUACUACAAAACAAAGAAUAAGCUGAUGGCAAAGCUUCAAGGCAUAUAAAUUAUUAGCAGCUAAUAGUCAAAAAGCUACUAAUAAUUCCUUAUAGUCAAAAAAUUACUAAGAAGGGGACUAAGGGAGAAAAGUUGUACUCAUUGGUAACCAAGAUGAUAAUACAUGAAUUGUUUCCCUAAAGAAAAAUAUUACUAUGCUACUACAUAAUUGAAAGACUUACUCAUCAUUUCGACAUAUAUGUCUGUUAAAUUUAAAUUUUGUUUGACACCAAACAUGGCGUAAUUGCAUUUUUUUCGUGUCCAGAAAUAAAACAAAAUGAAAAGGGAAUUUCCCCAAAAUUCAUAAUAAUAUUAAUUUGAACUUAGACAAUGGACAUUUUCACCAAUUUAACUGGUAAACACACAAUAUUUCCUAACACCCUUGACGUGUCAUUUUCAUCAAUUUAGCUGGUAGACACAUAUUCUGAUAUUCGAUUUCAACGAAGGAUGUUUGGUGAAUACAUCGGAACCUUCAAUUUACAACGCUCCAAUGUCAGUCAGGCUUGACUACUAUACGAUCAGGUUAUUCUCAACGAACUUUGCUUGAAUUUAUGAUUACUGUGUCCACUUUACGAACUGAAGUAUGUUUUAUAAUUUGUAAUGAACUUUACGAUAGCUGCAAAUAGCUCCGCGACUCAUCUGAUGUAUUGCGCGAUCAUGCGCCUACGAUCCAUCUUCUCAUUACAAAAUAAGAGAGUAGCUUUACAAACAUUAUAAAUCCUAUCAACUAUACAUCUGUUCAGUUAUAACAAGAUCAACCUAAUAUUAUUUGAUAUUUUUAAUCUAAAUACUUGUACAUUGACUCAAAUCAUUAAUAAGGACUUUACAAAUCAUACUAAUACAAAUAUAAAUUAAACACAUUUAUCAUCAUAUUUAAAUAUGCAAACUCUGAUAAAAGAUUUUAGUAAAUCUUUUGUAGUCUGUAUGUUUCUCUUUAUAUACAAACAUAAGAACAUUUAAUAUAAGAAUAAAGUGAUAAUCUAUAUUUAAAAUUAAAAUUUUUCCAUGUACAAACAUAAAAAACAAAAAAGAAGACAUAAAAUUUUAUUUUAUUUUUUCUCCAUCCUAAUUUAAAUUUAAAUUUAAAUUUUUUCUUUUGUAUCCAAAAUUCAAAAACAUAAUGAAAAGUAUUCUUUUAUCUUAUUAUCCAUUUUUUUGUUUUUAUCUAAGUCUAUCUAUAUAUAUAAAUAUAUAUUACCCCUAAAAAAUUAAUUUUCAAAAAUUUAGUAUAGACAAUUGCUUACAAUGGCCAUAUAGUAUAUUCGCCUUCGACCGCGAAUAUUAAUAUUUUGUGAAUUUUUAAAAUAACAACUAAUUUUAAUUAUAUUUAUAAUAAUACAUACAAAUUAAUCAUAUUCUAAGAUAAAAUUAAGAAAAUCAUAUAAUAAUAAUAAUAAUAAUAAUAAUAAUAAUAAUAAUAAUAAUAAUAAUAAUAAUAAUAAUACAUACAUACAUACAUACAUACAUAAGGACAUAUUUUAAUUAUGUAAGUAUAAAUAAUAAUUUAAUUAAUAUAUAAUUAUUUGGGGAAUUAGGAUGAGUCCUCUCCUCCCUAUUUUUAUAAAUAAUAUUGGAUAAUUCUGUAUUCACGCCGACCCUUUUCUCGAUCAGAAUCAAAAUUAUCGUCUCAGUUGUGAGAAUCACCGUAAAAAUUACUCCACACAAAUUGUCGUCCAGGUGUCAGUCUUGGUCUGUUUUUUGGGACAUGAAAUGAAAUGGAGUAGCGACCACAAAAAAUGAAAAGGAGUACUCAGUCAAUUGGUAUUUCCCUCGUGAAACACGCGCCAUUCACAAUAAAAGCUGCCCAACCGCACAAGACUUAUCUCAACGUUUAUCACGUUAUUCAUACUUUCAUUGAUGAAAGACAGUGAGUGAAAUUAUGGGCCGCCUAAUUUUUAUUUAAAUAACUCAUUUUCAAAAAAAAUAUAAUUAAAGUUUAGAAGCUAUAUUUUCAAUUUUCAUUUCUUCCUCUCCAAUAACAUUUGAGUUACAAUUGCGAAUUCAACUAUAUAAAAUGUAAUUAAAAGUUAUAUAUAUAUAUAUAUUAAUAUUAUUAGAACGAAAUGUUUAUUGUUUAAUGUGUUUAGUGAUUGAUUUCUCAAAUCUUGAAUUUAAAUUAUAAUUUGAAUUUAAAAACACAAUCCAGUUUAUUAUUGACUUUUUAAAAUCGAUUAAAAAUACUUUCAAGCUCAAAAUUGAACAAAUUCAUUUAAUUUUAACCAAUACAAUGAUGAAUAUUAUAAAUUUAUUUUUUUCGUUAUCUUCAAUAAAUUUUCUCAAUUUUAAAUUUAAAAAUAUAUUAAAUUAAUGAUCCUAGAAUUUAAAACUAUAUGGAGUAUCAAAUAUCACUCUUUCCAUGGAAUGGACUAUGGAGUGAGUAGAAUUUUUGAGAAAAAAACAAUACAUAUAGCUUCAGGAGCAGCAGAAAUAUGUCCACAAUACUGAUGGUGGACAUUUAAACUACAAUCUAACGGUCAAAAUUUCGAGAAGUAGCCAGAGUGCCGUAUCCCACCAUAAGUGGACCAAAAUUAAUAGCAAGAGUUGAUUCAUGACAUUGCCUGCAGCUGAACUAAAGAGAGGUUCCAAACUAAUACAUCAAACAAAUCUGACCCAGUAUGGUUUCCGUUUAAAGCAAACAAAAAUCAUGCACCGGAAAGACCAGGCAGGGUUGUUCAUGAGAUAUAUCUAUGCUGCUGCUCCUGAAGAAGCCUUGCCGAAGACUUGGCAUCUAGAUAAAGACUAGUCACUUCCUCGAGAUCGGCCUGUUAAGUGUACAAACACAAACAACAUAGGCAUAUUAGGAAAAACAUGAUUAUAUAUGUGCAGGAUGAUAGGUCAUGCUAACAAGUACCGAUCUAGAUGGAUGUGUAGUUUAACUACCUUGCAAAUACAGUCUCGGCCAUUCAUUUUUGCUACAAUGCUGGCAGGUGACAUCAACUGAACAGCAUGCCUGCAUAAUCACAAUAAAUAUUGGUUAAGUAAUACUAUAAUUGAGAGCAACGAUAUCAUCCAUAACAGACUAGAUGGAUGAAGCGAACCUUAAGGAUACUUGUUGUCCAAUUGCCCCGAGGUAAGCCAAGCUUUCUUCAUCUACAACCAGUUCCUCUACCUGAGCUCGGAUGGCAAGAAUCUGCCAAGCAUCAAGGUAUACAUUAAUUUAGAGGCAGAUGUUUCAUUGACCAUUUACCUGUGAUGUUAAAACAGGUCAUACACAUCAAAACAUUGAAGAAAGAGCUUUAACCUUUAUCAUCUCAGCUAUAUCAUAAUUUAGUGUCCGUAUAAUCACUAAUCGGUCUAACAAGUCAACUGGUAUGCCAUGAGGGCUACUCAUAUCAGUUCCUCUGCAAAAACAAAUUUACGUAAAUAAUUAAGACAUGAUACUAAUUAAAGUCUCAAAUGUACGCGCAGACAGGAUAGUUUAAAAGUUUGAGCACAAUAAAUAACUUGUUAAGAGUAUGUCCUAUUAGUCAUGCCCUCAAAAGAAAACAUUAAACUGCAUGGAAAUGAUCCCAAAAAUCGCCAACCCAAGCCCAGUGCACACAGAGGAGCAACCCUUCUCCCUCCCACACAUCCUCUAAAUAAAUCCAGAGGAAAUUUGAUUUUCUUUGUGCUUUUCACAUUAGAAGCCAUUGCUAGGUGCAGUACAUUGCUUCUGGUAGAAGUGAAUCACACGUAAGUUCAAGACUCGAGGCAGUCAAUUAGCACCAAAAAAAGCUGAAGAUUUAAUCCAAUUCCACCCUACAUGUUUUCUUUCAUAGUAAGUUACAUUAUGACUAUAUUACACUAUGGUGUAUCUAUGACCCUGUUCAUAUACAGUCAUUCUACUAUACAAGUUUCUGUCUGGGACCGCUAAAAUUGAGAACUAAAACAUAGUCUGACACAGCCAGAUGCAAAGUUAUCACUGAUUAACCAUCAGACUUUCUUACAAAUUUGAACACUCUCAUUACUCUUUGGUAAGUUCCAUAAAAUAUUCAUUACACAGCUUUAGCCUUCCAAGUUAAUAGCUUCUUAUUUUCAGGUCUACCAUUUUAAGAGCAUAGCCUAAAUUUAAUGGCUUACCAUUUAACAACAAGAAAGAGCAUAAACUCCAUAGUUCCUAGUCAUCCUAUGUCAAAGCAGGCUUCAGUCAAAAAUAUAGGUCGAAACAGGAAUGCAUGCCAAACAAAUUUAGUGGAUACAGAUUUUUGUGUUGUUAAAAUAUUAGAUACAAUUCUUCAGUGCCAGUACUUAUCAUGCUUGAGAAUAAAAUGUUUUUCUUCCCUUCUGUGCAUUUUUGGAUGCAAUCAGUUUCAGGAUUUAAUGAUGCAAAAUUAUACUAGCAAUCGACUCAAAUAUUAUUUAGAAAAAGUAUCUACAAAAUAACAACUUUCAAAUACUAAGCAAAGUUCUUCCUCUCCCUAUUCCCAGUUUGUGUAAAUUGGCAUAAAUAAAGCUUCAUACCUCACAUUACAUAUUCCUCUAUUGGUGGCAAAUAUUACUAUCGGAGAUAGUGAGCUCUCUAAAGCACGGUUUAGGUAUGAAAAGCACUCCAUAUCCAGCAUAUGUACCUGCGAAAAGGAUAUGUAAAUCACAAAAACAUAGAAUGAUCUGCACAUAUAUUUGGUAUGAAUAAUAGCGGAGAAUUACUUCAUCAAUAAAUAGGACUCCUGGGACAAGCUCUGCCACACCUUCGUCAAUAUAACGGUUAACAACCUGUAAUAGAUAAACUUCAUAGUUAAAUAACACAACAUUAUCUCCUGAGCCCUUCAAUCUAUGGAAUACUGCAGGUAUAAAGAGGAUGAAGAAGAGGUGGGAGGAAUUCAUAAGCUAUCCUAAGACCAUCAUGUCCUAAUAAGUAGGAAUUAGGCAUACAGUUAUCAUUAGAUUACCAUAAUGAUUCAGUAAUAACAAAAACUACUAGACUUGGGUACAAAUGAAUUGGGUUUUGUGGGAAAGAUUAAACAACUUAGUCAAAUGAUUAAUCUGCUCUCAACCCUAGGUAACAUAAAGUCCAGAUAAAUCGAAAAGCCUAUGUUGACAUCUCCAUAAAUUCAUAGAAUAAUACCUUAUUUAUUUCUUGUCGUAACUUGUCUGUAAUUUCAGUUUUCCUAGGCUUCAUCAUUUGACCCAUAAGGGACAAUAUAUCUUGUCCACCUUGAGGCCGUGCAUUUGCAGCAUCCAGAUCAUGUAGUGUAACAUCCUGACAAGGCAAAAAAGACAUACAUUAUAAACACAGAAUCCAUAUAGAUAUUCAAGAACCUCAUUUCCACCACCACUGAGAAUGAAACUUUCUUAAAAUGAAAAGGGGGAGAAGGAAAAGAAACUUCAUUUUAAUAACACCAAAACGGCGGUAACACGUUAAAGGCUUUAGAACACAUUGGCUUUGAGAAGUUUCCAACAAAAUUAUGAGAUAAAUUAUAGAACAUUUAAUAUUUUAUGCACGAUAUACAAAAGAGAAAGACUAAGGUGUUGUUUAUUUUGCCUAAGGGUGUUUCUUUAGAGCUGAAUGACUGAAUGGCUGAAUCGGUUAGUCAUUUAGUACGUUUGUUUUGAAUAAAAAUCGUUUGAAUGGCUGAAUCAGUUAGAUUUUUGGGUUGAAUGGCAAAAUGUAUUUUUUUUUGUUGAAUAAGUUGAAUGAACGCUUAAUGAAGUAUUUUAUAUUUAAUUUUUUUUACAAUAUUAACUAUUAUAUUAAGUAAUAUUAAAAAAAUUUACAACAAUUUUGAAUUUUUUCAGAGAGGUUAAAUAAUAAAAAUUUGUUAUUCAGAUGUUUCAGACACGUCAAUUAUCAAACAACUUUUUUCAUUCAGUAUUCAAAAUUCUGCUUCAUUCAGCUUAUUCAGAUUACUUAAACAUUCAGAACUAUUUCAUUCAGUUUUAUCAAACACCCCCCAAGUGAUAAGGUCUGAAUACUGAAUACAAGUCUAAAACAAAAAGUAACAUCUGGAUGUUAAAUGAGCCACAAAAUAGCUAAAAUUAAUUUACACUAAAAAUGAAAAAAUAAAGGAGCGAAAUCAUAGUUUUGAUAAAAAUAAACAAUGACUCAACUUUUGAAAUCUUAAAAAUGUAAAGAGCCGUCCAUCUUGUAUGGCCCAACACCUUUCAAAUACAUAAUCUCGUUACUUAAACAUAGAUAUGCCUGAAAAAAUGACUGUCUUCGUUGAGAAUGCAAAACAAUUCAAAUUACAAUAAUUACGUACAAAAGGAGAUAAGUAAGAGGGACAACAGUUAAAAAAUUAAGUCAACGCUAAUUAAAAUAAACAUACCUCAAUUGAUUAUCUCACAUCAAAGUAAAUUAAAGACUAUUACCAUCAGAUUAUGAACACUUGGUAUAUACACGCACACUCAUAAAUAUAUAUUCUGUGCGAGUGUAUAGAACCAUACAACAUAAACCAUAUCCCAAAAUACAUAGAAACAUACCUGAACUAUCUCCUUCUUUUUAUGAACCUCUCCUUUAGGAAGUGGAACAUACUCUUCUGCCUCAAGAUCAAAUUCUGUAGCAAAUGCAUCACUUCUUCCUACCCUUUUGACUGCACCACUAUUUGCUUCAAUGUAUAUGACAUCACCGGUAGCUACCUGCAGUUUGUCUCGUAAGAACCAUUAGAUGUUAUCAAAGACCAGAGCCAAUCAUGGAUCUUCAAUCCAAAGUAUGACACUAUUCGAAGAUAUUAAAAAUAUUUUUUAUAUAUUGGGAGAUGCCAGACCCUCAAAUCAGUUCAAAAACAAUACGGAGUAUUAUAAUUUGUGAUGAAAAGCAAUGGAAUCAAAUAUAAUUUAGUUUUAUGCAGGAAACCCAACAUACAAUGACCUUACCUUUUCCUUAAUCAAGGCAUCAUAAAUAGUCGGAUCUAGCUUCAGUUGCUUGGUUCCUUUGACAGUUUUUAACCCAAUAAUUACGUGACUAAUGCUUUUACCAUAUCCACCAGUGACGCUUUCCAUUUCCUCUGGCGAGAGUUCAGUCACCUAAAACAAAAGUAGCAGAAUAACACAUCAAAAACUGACAGGAAACAGAAAAGACAGAUUAUAUGCAUAUAAACAGCAUUACUAGGCAAAUUAAACACUAAUAGAAAAAUAAAAAUCAAGAUAAUGUACUUGCCUCUCCUUCAUAAACCUCCUUAUUUUCUUUGAUACGUAGACCAAUGGCCCGUCUGAAAUUUUCCAUCAAAACCUCAGUUUUCUUUACUUCUGAUGAAUAUACUUCUGAUCCAACCAUUGGACAGAAUGGAACCUAAAAGUAAACAGGGAUAAAAGUUUAAUUAACACUAGAUAAAUUAUAAAGUUUUAAUACAAAGAUCAAGAAUCAAAACCAGAUAUUAAACUAAUUGUUCCCUCAACAACACAAUGAAAUGAGCUGAAAAAUAUUGCAAAAACAAAAUGAACAUCACCACCAGUUACCACCUGCAUAAAACAGCUAGAUAAAUAUGUGAGGAGAUGUACCUUACUUCCAAGCUCCUGGGAUACACCAAGGGCAAGUGCUGUCUUGCCAGAACCAGGAGGUCCAGCAAGUAGAAGAGCCCGGCCAGCCAUCUUCUUUUGGCGUAUCAUAUCAACAACAAGGCCUGAAGCUUCUCUUGCUGCAGCCUGACCAACAAAGCCAGCAGCCAAAGGUAUUGCAUUUCCAUUCGGCUACAAAAGAAUCAUAAUAACAAGUAAAAAACUUCUAACCUUCAAUCACCAAAAUAAAAACUUAUAAAGAGAACCCAGUUGACAAUUUCAUAACUAGCAGAGAAAUUUUUAACAUUCAAUCAAUUAAAUACAAUACUAUCACAAUCCCACCUCUGAAUAAUCACUAGGGUUUCACUAAUAAAGCUUCAAGCAAAUACAGCAAAACUCAUGUACAAAAAGUACAAAACCCUAAACCCCUAGUAGGACAUAAAUCCAAAAUCCUUAACCGGUUAAAACCCUAUCGAAUAUAAAAUUAACAAUAACACAAAAUUAUUCAGAAUAUGAAUGAAUCAGUAUAGAAUUAAGUGAAAGAUGCUGAGGAGCAGAAAAGAAGAGUGAUACAUAUACAUACAUGUGUAUAUAUACGUAUAUACGUACCUCAAGGCCAAGACCUUUGAUGUGAGUAUGGGUAGCAACCCUUUGCUUCUUUGUUGUUGAUUGUACUUCUUCUAUCUUCAUUUGCUCUCUCUACUAUUUUCUCUCUCUUCUGUCUGCUUCGUUACUAGUAUGGUUUAACAGACGAAGGUCACUAGUUCUACACAAUUUCUAAAGACGAAAAUGGAGUUGUAUGGGUGGCCUGGUUUAUAAAUAGUUCGGGUUAAAUCAGAAUUAAAUAGGCCCAAAAUUGUAGAUGUAAACUGGACCUCCUACGUCUGUUUCCAGUAAUCCUAUUGCCCCAAUAGCAUAAUUAGCAUUUCCCUUUUAUUGUAAUGUGCAUUUUAUUAUUAAUUUUUAAAAUAAUAUUAUUAAUGUUUCUAUGUACUCUGUUUCAAAUUAUCAAUAUUGAUUUUUUAAAAAUUAAUUUCAGAUAUUUUUAAUUUUAAAAUUGACAUGAUUCAUUAAAUUUUGAAAAUAACAAAUCUUAGUAGUACAAAUUCACCGGUGGUAUGAAUAAUGGUUUUAUUAUGUUAUUUCUUAUGAUGACCAGUUAAAUGUAGGAUAAAUACUUAAUUACAAUUAUAAGAAGAUAAUUGGAAUUUUUAAAUUAUAUUACAUAUUAAUUUGAAUAAUAUCUUAUAGGUUCCUUUGGUCAAAUAUUAAGCUAAACAUUUAAAUGUUGUAUAGAUUUAUUUAGUUAUGAUUAUAAGAAAAUAAUUAUUUUAAUUUUAUUUAAGUUUGUAAUGAAAUUAUAGUUAUAUUAGUGUUUAUAUUGACAAAUUUUGAUUGAAAUUGUAAUAGAACAAUGAAACACAAGUUUUAAUAAAUUUUAAUUUAGUUAUGACAAUUAGUUAGUAAUGAAUACAUUAUAAUUUUUGGACAAAUUUUAUAAUUAUUGUGUUUCAAAAUAAAAAUUACAUAUAUUAUUAAUAAAAUUAUUUGAUAAAAUUUUAAGUUUUAAUGAACUUCAUUUAUUUAGGACAUUAAUUUAGUAAUAAAAUUUAUGAUUGAUAUUAAAAUAAAAAGACCUUACCAUCCCGCCUGCGUGUUGACACUAUAUCAAAAUUAACUCCAUGCUAACCAGUCUAAUUUAAAAUUAAACAAGUUGAUGUCACUUUUGAAUUUAAAAAUAUUCCACAUUAGUACAAGGAAGCAAACGGAAUGGCAGAAUGAACACCUAAACCUACAUUGGUGAAGGCUGCUCUUGUGAAUAAAUAACAUUGCUAUCCAUUUGUGCCAAAGGGUAAAAAACUCCCGGUCUCAGCUUAAAAUGCAUUGUUGCCUCCACAGUAAGGAAAAAGCUUACCGGAAAAUAAAUACUACCAAUUUAUCAUAGAGAAAGCUUGGGGUUUCCCAGCUUUCUAGUGGAUUCAGAGUCUCUUAAAAAAGAAAUCUCAGAAUGUUUUGUACAAGCAUGGAAAGCAAAUUGUUAUAAGCUACAGAGUUACAUUUAAGACAAAUUUUAGUAAAUGCUGCAUUGAUCGGCUUCAUGAAAUUAACAUAUCGCAACAUUGCAAUUAUCCAUGAAAGAAUUAUCAUGGCAGAUUCGAGAAUAAAUAUCAUCAACCUACCGAAAGUCUCAAAUUCUUAACAGUUGCAGUUUCUCAAAGAAAUUGAUGCAUAACUCAAGUUGAUAUGGUCAAGUAACAGUUCCAUCUUCUAAAAGAGAGCGUCUCUCGAGGACUGCGAUAGUCUCUUCUUUGGCACUGCCAAUACAAAAGAAAGUUGAUCAAUUUUUUUUGUCUGGCAUGUUAAAUACACAAUUGAGGCCAAAAAUUCUUGAGCAGUCAUUAAGGUACUUGUCAUUCCUUAAUCCUUACAUAACCAUAGCAAAUUGGAAAAAGGAAUAAUGUAUGGAACCAACUUUCUGCAACCAUAAUCAAUAAUUAGAAAAGAAUAUACUUUUCUAAAAGACAAGAUUGAACUCAGACUAGUUCUCAACAAGAGAUCUCGAUUAAGUAAAACACGGGGAAUCCAGCAGCAGAACAAGCACGGUUCAUUUCCACUGGAUUGAUACCUUAGAAAUUUUGGAUUGUCCCACAGUUUGACUGCUUGUGGCCAAAAAUUAAUAAGAAAUAAGAAAAAACCAUUGACAAUCACUUCAAGUUGUAGUUUAGGAUAGACUUCAGCAGAUUUAAUUAUAAUAAUUUUAUACUCCUAGAUAAUAAAAUCAAGAAUUGUUUUUCAUGUUGAUCAAGACCAUGCAUCUAGGAUGCUUAUUCUAAUUUUCUUAUCUAUUUCUUAUGCAUUCAAUAAGAUAGUUUUUACUCAAAUCUUACAAACAGCAUCCAACCCACCGGGAAUAUUAGAUGCUUACCUUCCAGGUCUCAGAAUCUUGUACUUUCCUAUGCUUGUAAGGUCUACAACUGUUGAACCCGCACGCCCAGAUGGAAGAACGCCACCAUCAUACACGUAUGCACAGUGUUCCCAGAGGUCCGCAAAGUCUUUGAUGUCUACACUACUUGGCUUCCCACUGAGGUUUGCACUUGUCAGGGCCAGUGCACUUCCCAAACCACGGGCAAUGACCCUGAUAAAGUUACAAUCAGGCACUCGAACUCCUAUGCUAUUUAAUCCAGGGUUUAACGACCUCUCCAGAAUGCUUGAAUCUCCUGCAAAAUAUUCAAAUUCAAAUGUCAGAUCUCAAUGUAUUUGAGAAGCAACUCAAAAUAAUUUCCAAGGAACAAUAUGACACAGUGAGACAUUUAUUGCAAAUUAACUAGAUGCUAGCAAUAUGGUCUUAAAUUACAUGAGCAGCUGUCUCUAUAAAGGCUCAGGCGGAGUGUCUUCUUCUUAAAAACUGAUUUUAUAUCAAUUUAGGCAAUGGACUUGAAAAAGUUAGAUACUUCACAGAAAAAUGCAAUCUAGCUAGUAGCUCCCCUUUCUAAAAUGUAUUACCAUUAUUGAACAUGCAUGUUCACAGUUAACUUAGAUUCCUAAAAACGAUUAGGUACUUUGUUUACCCCUUCUUAACAAUUCAUAAAGAAAAUAAAGGUUUUAGUAACAUACCUCGCCUUAACACCACAGUUACAGGUCCUGGAAGGAGAUAAUCAAGUAAGCCAUGAGGCAAAUGAUUCGUGACUGCAAACUUCUCUAUGUCCCGCACAUCCCCAACACAAAUUGCAAGAGGACUCGUAUAUUUCCGCCCUUUAAUCUCAUAAAUCCUAUUAACUGCUUCGAGAGAGCUGCAAUAUGGCUCACAGAAACAUAAACGUUUAUAAUAUUUUAAGGAAAAGAGUACAUGGAGAAUUAAGUAAGAACUUCCACAUAAAUUGUGUAGAACAUAAUGAUGAGGGUUUUAGUCAAGUAAGAGGAAGUGAGGGUCAUGAAUUUUAUAUUCUUAUUUUUCUCCAUGUCCGGUCUUUAUACCACAAAAAUUUACUAAGUAGGCUCUUUCAUAAAUACUGCGAUGACGGAGAAACUCAAACUGUUUUCUCAAGGCAAGGAAGAUCUGUAGUGGGAUUUAAGUAACGAAAUAACAAUAAAAGGGUUAAAUAUAUUUUUGCCCACUCUACUCAACCUUGUAACGGUUUACAAAUGCAUCACUGAACUGAAUUUUUUUACGGUCAACUCAUUGAACUAUAAUUUUUUUACAAAAAUUGAAAUUUCUGUCUAAAAGUGUUAAAAGUUAACGGAAAGUCUACAUGGCAAAGCUUACGUGGAAUAUAAGACCCACCGUGAAUUUUUUUUUUAAUAAUAAUAAUAAAAUAACUUUAGUUUAAAUUUUUUUUUUAUUUUCAAACUUGAAUUCUCUCUUUUUUUAAAUAACAAAUAAUUAAAUUAAUAAAAAAUAUAUAUUAAUUAAUAAAAAAUAUUAAUAUAUAAUUUUUACAAAUGUAUUUAUAUAAAAUUAAUGAAUACAUAUUAUUUUUUUUAAUUUUUAAAUAUUUGAAGUUUACUUUAAAGAUACAAAAUUAUCUAAUAUAAUUCAUCAUCUUCUCCACCACAAAUCCAAAUAUGAAUUCAUUAUCUUUUUCAUCACAAAUCUAAAUUCAAAUCUAAUUUAUCAUCUUCUUCACCACAAAUCCAAGUAUAAUUCAUCAUAGUAAUUAGAAUUAGCCGAAAUACAAAUCUAAUUCAUCAUAUUCUUCACCACAAAUCCAAAUAAAAAAUAAUUCGAAAUCAAAAAUCUAAAACUACUUUAUCUUUUUCUUCUUCACCACAACCCAGAUCCAAAAUUUAGAUUAAGUAACAUACUUGGACUCAUCACUACCCAAAUACACCGCCGCCGGCACAACCCCUUUCAGAUUCGCCGACGUGCAAAGUAUUCCCUCCACUGCACUCUCCCCAACCCCAUUGCAUUCCUUAACAAUGGCGUAGCCACAGUGCCAGGAGAAAUAGAAUUAACCCUAAUCCCAUGAUUUUAAAAGAAUGAUUUGAAGAACGGAUCAGAGGGAGAAGCUUUUUUAGAUCUGAACAACACAGAUCCAGAUCUGAACUUUUGAUUUCCACCAAUUUCUCCACUGAUUGUUUUUCUCCUCUGUUUUGAAGAAACAGAUUUCGGGCUCCUGUAAUUAACAUGAUCCUCUGUUUUGAAUAAAAAAAAAUGGAUUCAUUAAUUUUAUAUAAAUAUAUUUGUAAAAAUUACAUAUUAAUAUAUUUUAUUACUUUAAUUAAUAUAUUUUAUUUAAUUACUUUACUUAUUUGUUAAUAUAUUUUUAAUUACUUUACUUAUUUGUUAAUAUAUUUUUAAUUAAUUUAAUUAUUUGUUAAUAUAUUUAAUAUUUAUUUAAUGAUUUCAUAAUAUAAAUAAUAAUUAUAUUAGUUUUCAAAAAUAAAAAUAAUAAUUAAUUUUCAAAAUUUUAGUUAUAUUUUUAAAGUUUGAAUUUAUUUUUAUAAAUUUUAAUUUUUAAUUUGUGCUUAUUAUAAAAUACUUAUGAAUACUCAAAUUCAAAAUUUACCAAAAAUUUUCUUAUUUUAAUAAUAUAUGUAAUAUAUCUUAAUACAAUAACAUGUCAGACAUUUAUAUGUUAUAUUACUAAUUUUAGUUUUAUCUAAAGAGAGGUUAAUUAAAUUAAUGGAUUUAAUGAGUUAUUUAAAUUAAAAGAAAAUUAUAUAAUUAUAUGUAAUUCAGUGAGUCGAAUGAAAAAAAAUUCAGUUCAAUGAUUCAUUUGUAAACCGAGGUCGAGUAGAGUGGGGAAAAGUAUAUUUAACCCAACAAUAAAAUCACAUAAUAGGAAAAUUGUAAAUCUGAAAGAAACAUUCAUUGAAUCAUGUAACUUACAUUCAUUUGUUUAAUCAUGAACAAGGCCAAAAGAAUGUAAAAUUUCUCAUGUGUGGUUUUCAGAUGAUCACAUUUGAAGGAGAAUGACGAAUUUCAUGCGUACUUCUGAAUUGCAGCAAUGAGAGUUGAUCGGGCACUUAAAUUAGUUGUGCAUAUACAUCAAAAUCUUCCAAAAGUUAAAGUAUUGUCAUGGACUGGUAGAGGUAGAGUAUUUCUAUGUAAACUGUUGAGACUUUUUUGAGUUCUCAACAAAUAUAUUCCAGAAAUUUUGCACCCUUGUUAUAGAAAGUAAAAAAAAAUGAAAUGUAGCCAUAAAGCCACCCUUGCCAUUGGUUAUGUUUCGUGGACGCAAUAGCUUUUUCCACAUUUCAGAAGAAUAUUAAUGCACUCUAUCAAGAUAAUUUUACUUGCUUUUAAAAUGUUAAAACUAAACUUUUAAUCUCAACUUUAUAUUAAAAUCUCAAAGUAUAAAUUAAGAAACCAAAUCAUCCAAUGGUAUAAUUCAACUGACUUUUAAUUCCGGCAUAUUCAUGUAAACACAAAAAUUGUAAAGAUUGAAAAACAAAAUAAACAAGAACGGUCCUGAAAAAAUUAACAAAAAUAAAGUACAUACCAAGCAUCACAAGCAAAUCCGUAGAGUGUAUCAGUGGGAACCGCUAUGACUUUGCCAGUUUUAAGAGCUUCAACUGCUUCUUUGGCAAAAUCAUCUGUCGCUGGUCGAACCAAACCCAACUGAGUUUCUGCAUUUGAUUCACAUUUCUCAAGAUUCCAAGCCAUCUUCUUCGUUAAGGCCCCUCUGAAUCCUCGUUUAUGUUGCCGGAUUUUCACUAAUCUAAACCUGGACACACCUGACACAUACAUAUAUAAAUAUAUGAAUAUCAAAGAAGAAUAAGGUGUAGACUGGAUAUAUAUACACACACAAACGCACAGAGAGAGAGAGAGAGAGGAGAAGAUUGACGAUUACUAGCAUGUAGGAUGAGCACCUCGGAUUGAAUGUUGGAGAGAGAAGUGAGAGCAGAAGAAAGGCAAUCUCGCAGCUAUUUGUACCGGCACAAUAUUCAUAACUUUCUUCUCUCUCUAUCCUCCUCCACUUUCAAUGGCUUUUUGCUCCCGGAGAGAGGGAGAGGAGGCAGCACACUACUAGAAAGAAGGGAGAUUUUUCCUUUUUGAAUACUGAAUUUUGUGGGACUCAUUAGAUUAUUCAGAUAUCUCUCUCUGCAGUGCUCAUAUAAGUGCAAUUUUUAAAAUGUUGUGACAAAGUGACGCAACAAAACAAUUCAAUUAAUCCCUAAGAUAUUAGUAUGCAGAAUUUAUAAACGUAAUUUCACCUAACAGAGCAUACAUCAGAGUUGUUACACUGUUUAAACUAAAGAAAAGAGAUAAAACAACUAUUAAUUUGAUUUAAAUCUAUAUUUGGUAAAUUAGUACAUCACUUUUGGAACCUAUUCAUAGGCUUUAUAAAACUUGGAUAAUAAUUAAUAAGUCAAAAUCUCUACACAAUUCUCCUAACUUACAUACUGACCUAUUGGAUUCAAACUUCACUAUUUAGACCCCAAAAAUAAUCUAAACCGCAAGUACUUUUUGACAUUUCCACAACAUCUCUCUCUAAGAUCUCUAUUCAUGUGACAGACCUUGGGAAAGUAUAAAAAGUGCUUGUAGAAAUAUGAAUUCUUAAAAGAAUAAAAUUUUCAAUCACAAAUCCACCAAACAGGAGUUAAGAAAUUUGAGUUUAGUAGAUAUCACCACAAAAAAAUCAACUUUAUCAAAUUAAUACAAUAUACGGACAUGUAAAUGCACAACAUCUUAAAAAUUUUGUAUUGGGUCUUUUCUCUAACUACGAUCAUAUCCAAUGUUCUAAAAGGAGCUAGGCGGGAGGCGGGAGGCGGGAGGCCGAGGGGGGGCCUAGGCGGGGUCUGGACUGGGCCUAGGCGGAAUUUUUUAUUUUAAGCCAAUUUUAAUAUCUUAUCUUACAUUUAUCCAAACAAAACAAUAAUAUAAAGAAAAACAAUAUAUAAUAAAGAUAAUAAAGGCCUUUGCUUAAAGUUCAAACACAUAUCCAUAUUGCUAAUGUCAAAGUUCAAACACAAACAUACAAUUGUUAAAAGUUCAAACAUAUUUUUAACGUAUUAGUUUUAUUCAUAAACAAGAUUGUUAUUCAAUAAUAAAAUUUAAAAUUUCAAAAAUUUAAUUCAAUAUUAAAACUUAAGAAACUAAACAUAAAUUUAAAAAUUAUAUUGAAUUAAACUAAAUAUUACAAAUGUAUCAUCAUUUAUAUAAUUUGAAGUUGGUACAAGUUUAAAAAAUUACAACUAUAAUAAAAUUAUCCAUUUUGACUUGAUAUUGUUCACUUCUUGUUGUGAUUUGAUGUGCUACAACAUGUAUUAUGAAUAUGGUAAAUCAUUACAAAAAUAAAUAUAUCAAGAUCUGGUUUGGGUAGUUAUUAAAAUAAAAAAAACCUCUUCAUCUUAGACCCCCGCCCCGCCUUAUUUUGUGGAGGGAUUUUUUUGUCGCCUUGGGCCUAGCUGAGGCGCCAGAGGGCCUAGCGCCUAGGCGAGGCGCCAAGGGGGCCUAGCGUCUAGGCGGAGCCUAGGCGGACCUAAGCCGGAAUUUUUAGAACAGUGAUCAUAUCCGAAUUAAUUUCAAGGGCAUUUUCUUUGUUAGGUUCUUCAACCAGACAAACCUUUGCUAUAAAACUUUGGACUCCAAAAUAUCACAUUUUACUUGAAUUUCAUCGUCUUUCUCCAACAUAUAAUCAGUAUAUGUGUGUAUAUAUAUACAAUAUUACAUAUUUUGAAACGGAGGAAGUAAACAAUUUCCUACUGUUAAAUAGAAGAAAGACCUGGGGCUGGACUGAAGCUGGACGGCGGGAGGAGACGACGGGCGAAGGCGGCGGCGGAGAGAAGGGAAGAAUACGAUUGUCUAUAUAGAAAUUUUGGCGGGUCAGCGGAACAGGGAAGAAAAAUAAGGGAUAGACAGUAGACUACGAAAGAGUAUAUUUCUUUCUUUUCCUUCUUCCGGAUCCGGUCUCCUAUGGAGCAUAUUGUAUUUAAUAAAAUACAAUCAGCAAAAAAUAAAGUUAAAAAAGUGCAAUAUUACAUUUUUUUUAUUUUUUUAUUUUUGUAAACAAUGUAUGUAUUAAGGAGUACUACAUUUGUACGGCAAAAAAAGUCAUCCUAUAACUUUUGAAAAAAAAUCUUAAAAUUAUUCAAAUUUAUCAAUUAAUUAAUAAAAUUGUGUAUAGUAUAAACUAUUCUAAAAGUAACACUAAUUUUCAAAAUUAUAUUUUUAAAACUUAAAUAAAUUCAAAUCAAUUUAAGUUUAUAGUUAUGCAAAUUGAUUUAGUCAAAAUUGGACUUCUAUAAUUUCAAUGAAACAGGGAGUAGAAGCAUAAGUGAUAAAAUUACAACCUUGGUCUUGAAAUAAAGGAUCCUAGUACUACUUAAAUUUUCAUUUUUUAUGUAUAUAUUAAGAUUUACAUGUGAGGCACAUCACCCAAUAUUUUUAGCUUUCAUUUUCUCAUAAAUUUUUUCAAUACAAAAUUUAGUCUUUUAAAUUUAACAUUAAAAAAAAAAAAAAAAGUCUUCAAAAGGAAAGAUGGAUGUCAAAUUUGAAUCUCAUUGAAAGUUGAUGAGAACAUUUGAGGAACAAAGUAUGUAAACUUACUCUUAUAUUUACAACACAACAAAGCAAUACAACCAAGUUUCUUUAAAUUCAACAAUUAAGAAUAAACCCAGCUUAAAACUCUAUCACCCAGUAUUGCUCCUAACAAUUGAGACUCUAGGACAACUUCAUAACAUACAGAACCACCUAAACUCACACAUGAACAACAUUGUAAAAUUUUAUCUCCUUUCUUUUUCUCACCCCAUAUGAAGAAAGAGGAAUCCAAAAGUGAGCUGCUCCAACAUAAACACCUUUUUUUGCAGCUAUACAAGUUUUAAACUAUUAGGUAACGCGGCCUAUUACCUCCCACUAACAGUUUCUGGAUUUUCCGUUUCUGUUUGGUUGAGUGGAGGACAGUCUACAUGGGAUGACACUGCAGUUUGCGGCCGUCUACUAGCAAAUUGCAAAUUGUCAUGAAGAUUUGAUGAUUCUUGCCACCUUCUCCUCCAUCUCAAAACCUCGACAAUAAUAGAACUUCCACUCAUUGCAACACCAAAUCCCGCAAAUGUUGCUAGGAGAAUUGACAGAACUGGUUGCACAUGAACCUAUACACAACAGAGAAGGGGAAAAUACCAAACCAUUUAUACUGUAAUUAUCUCUCAAGUACAAUUAAAAAGGUUGGAUUUAUAAUCAGUUUGACAUGGCUCAAUCAGUAUAGAAACAUAUAAGUCGAAGAAAUGGAACAAAUUUACAGGUUUCAAGAUUUAUAAAUAUUUUUUGGAGGGAAGUUUGAAAAUAAGCUGGAAAAACUAUAAUGUAGUAAUCAAAUUCCAGCAUGUUAUGGUUCAAAUUUAUAUUUCAUACUAGCAAAUUACAAAAGUCAAAUAUACGAUGUAGUCAAAUUCACAUUCUAUCCUGCCUGAUUUUGUAAAAUAAUAGUUUUUAUACUUUCUUCCGGUAAUUCACAAGAUACAGUUGUGAGCAGAGAAACCCUUACCAAGUUGAAGAAAAAAUGUGCAAAGAUAACCACGAAUGCGAACUGAAUUGAUGCAUAAAGCCAGACAAACCUUCUCUUCACUAUAAACAAAAUUUAGAGUACUCGAGUCAGUACUGGGGGCAAAGAGAACAGUAAGUAUCCUAUAAUUAACUCAACAACUAUAUUCCAGCAUUUAAAUGGGAUUGGACCCAUUAACAAGUUCAUUAAUACGUUUCCAUUGAAUUAUUCGUAGGUGUGUGUGUUUGUGUGUUUUAUGUACACUUUCAAUGGAUGAUUUCUAUAUCGUAUGUGGGAUCAACUAUCUAGUUACUUAUAUUCAGUAUUACACUGUACUGUAUUAUUAUAUAUUAGAUAUGUUUUUACAUAAUAAUCCUUUCUGUUUAAAUUGUUUGCCAGCUUACCCAUGGUUGAAGAGGUCAUGGAUGCAAGGAGACCCAGUACACAAGAAAAUGGAAGUGAGAGAGCUAUUGCACCCGUACCCAUACUUGCAACCUGUUCAUAACACAUUAUAUAACCAAGGAAACUAUUUCUAGAUAAGAAUACCAGACUAAAUCCACAUCAAAUCUUACCAGAAGUUGCUCGAGAAAACAAAAGUAAGCAAGCAUGCUGACAAUAACAAGAAUUGGCACCUCCUGCCAAACCCUGUAGACAUCACUGCAAAGAAAUUGGAUUCAGAUGGCAAUAUAUGACAAAAUAAUUCUUAGUGGGUAUAAAUAGUUCUACCUCCGUCCAAAAAAUGAGAGCCUCAUUUGAACUGUUGACUUUAUUUUAUGCAUAUUAAAAUUUGCCUAUGAGGCUAUGACACACUUGAACAAUUAACAUUUUGUCCAAUUAUGACAUUUGGACUUGAAGAUAAAAAUUCAGUAAGACGAAUGAGACUCCUAUUUAUGGAUGGAGAGGGAGUAUGACACACACUGUAUACGAGAGUGAGAGGGAGUAUAAGUCACACUUGCCUGAAUCCAUUAACUGCCAUCUGUGGGGCUCUAUUUGCUCCAGUAAUUUGAUUUUGAACACUUUGAAUCCGCAAAAGCGUGACAGGUAGAUUUUGAACCUCAUGCUUGCACACUUCACAGGUUUUGUUACCUUUGAUGCUAAACCAUUUUACAGCGCAUUCUUGGUGAGCCAAAGCAAGUUCACCUUUGCAUUUGCAUUCCAUCUUUAGGGUCUCUCCACCUUCACAUAAUUCAACCAUACAGAUUCUACAAACAGCCUCUUCUUCUGGUAUAUCUUCCGCAUCAUCUUCAUUAUUUUCUAAACAAUAAAACUAAUAUUAGAGACAGAACUUAUCACAGCAAAUACAUACUGAACAAACAUACCCAAACAACAGCAUUAAAAAGUCCUAGAAACUUAUUCUUCAUUUGAUUGCCACAAAAACUGAUAGUGAAAUAUGCAAUACUAUCAUUGAUUAAAAAGAAAACAGAACUUUGUUUCAGAUGUUAUGAAAAGGGUUCCAGCAUUUGCGAUGAAAAAAAAUAGAGAAUCAAUGAAUUUUUAGUUACUCAUGAGUCAUGAGCUAGGAAAAUAUGAUGUAAGAUAAUAAAGAAAACAACAAUACCAUCAUCUCCAGUUGUAUCUGUAGUGGACAUUGUGUCAUUUACAUCUCUUACUCGUGGAGUUGAGGGAAUUACACGGAUAAAUGAAUCCAUUCGCCUCAUGGUCGGGCCUUUCUUUAUAACAGGGACUGAAAGUGAACGAGAUAUGUGCCUCUGGGCUGCUUUUGUCUACACGCAACAAUGAAACGGAAGUUAUAAUGACUGUUUGCCUAUGAGCCUGAUCUUGAACCAAAACCUAAAGAACACUGGAACAUCAGCUAAAAGUCUGACUGAUUAAAGAAUAACGAGUCCCUCAACAAUAAUGUAGUGAGUUUUAGUUUUCCUAAGUAAGUCACUAAUGCUUCAUAAUGGUUAGACCUUUGUUAAUAACAACACAACUGCUUUCCCAUAUAUUUUUUGCAACAAUUUAAUGCUGCUCUAGAAAAAAUCAAGAUCACUAAUGCAAUAAGAACAUGAUUGAUGUCUGUUAUAUUCGUAACAUGUCCGAUGCCAGAAAAAAAGUGGGGAUUUAUUGCCACUUCACCGCAACCCAUUAUAUGCGUCCAUACACCUUUCAGACAGGUGCUGCACUUUCCAUCUUAAGAAGGUCAACUGCCAAAAACCAACUCGAAGGUAAUACCAGCCAGCCAACUGUUCAAUCCGACAAAUCUCACACAUAAAUAACAUGAAACAAGUACAAUAAAGAAUUUUUUAUUGUUUAGAAAAAAAACACUAAAUGACUCAACUUCCAUGUUCUCAAUGCAUUCCUUUCAAGUUACCCUCUAAGUUAAUUAAGAUAAGCCUUUCAAAACCUUUUUUUAUUUAUUUAUACUUUUUAGAGCAAGUCAAUGUGAUCACAUAUGCAUGCAAUCAGCAAUCACUUUAUACUUUUAUAGGAUUAAAUUAGCUGUGUGACUAGAUGCCUUAAGGUAAUCAUGGCACCUUGAUUGGCCAGUCAAAUCUGUUUUUCUCACCCUUUAGUUAUUCUUUAUUGUGGAAUAGAAGCCAUCUAAUGUGCUGAUAACUUACGUCAAAAUUUAGUGAGCUGCUUAAGUUUCCUCCAGAUAUAGAUUCUGAGUUGGACCGUGAAAUUGGAGUAACAGGUAGAGACGAUGUUCUCUUCAUCCGAGGAGUAAAUAUCUUUGUAAGUGACCAAGAUCUUGAGAUAGUAGGCUUCUCCUGUGGCCCUCCUGGAACUAAGUUUGUGGCUUUCUCUACAUCUGAACUAGAAUUCUUGUACUUGAAGCUCAGCUUUGGCAAGAGUUGCUUCAUGGAUGAUUUACCUCUGAAUGGGGAAGGACUAGGAGACACAUUAAGUCUUGUAUUAGAAGGGCUAGGCGUCAGAAGGAAAUUUACUUUCUUGGGAGUGGGAGUAGGGGUAGGCGGCAUCUUUAUUUGAACAAACUCUUGAGAGGAGAUCUCCAUGUUUCUUGAUGGUAUCUCCAGAAAAAGAUUUGGCUUUUUCCAGUGCUUACAGUGUGGUGUUCCUUGACUUGAUCCAGAAGAAUCGUCACCCUAAAAAAAGAAUAAGAAACAUAAAAACUACUAAAUUGGAGAGCAUGCAAAGUAGGCAUAAAAUCUUCGUAUUGUAGCAGAAAAUUCUAUUUGCACCUACUAAUGUGUCAUGGGUAGUCCUAAAAUUAAUUGAACUUUGAAGUCCUGUUUCUUUUUAACUUUAAGAAUGACUAGAUAGACCAUGUCAUCAGGUUCACUUUUAUCUAAUUCCUAAUUCAUUUUUAUCUAAUUCAGAGUCUGUCACAAGGUGCUGAAUAAUUGAUAUUCGUACUGACAAUGUCACUCCAUCAUUUAGUUAUCAUCUUAUGUCUACAUGUAGGAGUUGAAUGGAAAUGUUCACAAAAUAAAUUAUAAAAAAUCUAAAAAUAAACAAAUAAAACAAAAUUGAUGACAGAAGUAGGUGAUCUAAAGCAGGUAUUUACAUAAAAUUACCAUAGUCUAAAAUGAGCUACAACAGUGCCAUUCACGUUAUAGAGAUUUAUCCAGUACUUUACUAAAUAUUUGAAUCAUUUAGUAUGAAUUUCAGUUUGUCUUGGCUAGAAGUUGAGUAAUUUACACUGUCCGGGAAUUUUAUUUAUAAAGGAAAGGAAGAGUUACAAAGGAAGAUAAUUAUAUCCAGGACAUAAACUAACAAACCCAAAUGUAAAAGCUCGAACCUGAAAAUUAUGUAUUGACAAAGUAAGAAAUGGCUCAAAAUUUUCAAAGAAACCCAUUAAAGGCUUCAACUUUCAUACAUAUCUUACGGUAAGCCCACAUAAUUAGGAAAAUAACCAAAUUCCCAGAAAAAGAUUCAACCAAAAAAAAACAGAAAGAAAAGCACACACCUUGUCAAUUGAAAUAACAACCUCGAUCUGGCAUUCACCCCCAUUACCCAUUUCAGUUAAAGACUUAUUAUUCUCUUCAGGUUUCAUCUUCUCUUGCAACAGUUUCUGCUAUAUAACUUCCAAUACUAACAAAGAACCUGAAAAAAUGGAAAAGAGGCUCACUCUUUGUGUGUGAAAGAGGAGAGAGAAAGAGAGAAACUAAAGUUAUGGGUAUUUCUUGAGGUGGGUAAUUACUGAAGAUGGAAGGGGGAGCAAUGAAGUUGGCAUUCAUUUAUGGCAAAAGCCAGAGGAAGUGGGGAGAGCUCCUUGCCCACUCCACUCCAUCAAGUUUGGUUGCUAUCGGGGUUUCUGAAAAGUUUGUUUAACCGGUUUUAAGUCCUAAAUUUGUGUUGGUGAAUUAUAAAAAUUAAGUUAAAAAACAUAUUUAUUUAAAUAAGAUUUUUAAUUAAGAUUAAACUUUAAAAUUAGAAAACUCUUAAAGUUAUAAACCAAAAUGCACUUGCAUACUACUGCAACAUCAUAAAUACUACUCCCACUUCUUAUAAAUCUCACUCUCACUCCUUAUAAAUCCCACUCCCAUUCCUUAUAGUGUGGGUGGGGUGAUCACUUCAUGUCCCAAAAUAUACUGACACUACAUUAUAUUAAGUACUUAUUGUUUCUUUUUUAAGUCCCACUUCCAUAAGAAACUGAGAGAAGGAGAGGGUUUAAGUUAGUCAACCACUAAGUUUUUUCCCCUGUAUUUAGUCAACCACUUAGUUAUCAAAACUGGCGUGUAACCUAUUAUAGCUGAAUUGCAGCAUACUUACCCAUAAUUAUAUGUGCUUUUGUAUUAUCCAACUUAUAGAUUCUUUUCAAAAAAAAGUUCAAAUUCUAGAUGAUUUUUAUAUUAGAAUUAAACUGUACAUAAAAUAACUCGGAUUAAAUUCCAAAUCCGAAUCAAAUCAAAUCAAAUUUGUCUAAACAAACUCACCAAAAAAUAUUGAAUUAUAUUACAACUCAGGUCAAUUUUUUCUUGUUUAAGAAGCCUAUAAGAGCAAAUCUACAAUUAUAGUACAACUUAUGAUAUCUUACCCUUGCACUAACGAAGAAUAUUUAAUUUUUUGGACAGGAAAAUAACCACUAACAAAGAAUAUUGAAUCUCUUGUUCUAUUAUUUAGCAAAAAAAAGAAGGCAAAGACAGAUAGGAUUCUGUGAAGAAGAUUUACAUGGUUAAAGAUUUUACAAAAUAAUAAAAAAUCACUAAUAUAGAAAAUCCUCAACCUCAAAAGGGAUUUUUGAAUUUUGUUCAUGGCUAUAAAAAAUGAAGUAUUGGCUGCCAAAAAGAGUGUCAAUAAAUUAAGAUUUAGAUAAAGAUGUUUGCUUUUUCUUUCCACAAAGAUGUAUUUGCUUUUUUUGCUGUCUGGCAACCUCAGUGACUGAUCCUUGACCCCCUUCUAUAAUAAAGCACUGGAGCAUUUUAAGGAAUUGUUUGGAAAUAAUACUUCUUUUUCUUUUUGUGAAAAAAGGUGGGCUUUUUUAAUAAGCAGAUCAAGAUUACUUCUUAGCCAUAUCUUAAAUUGAAGAUUAACUUAAAUUUGGGGUAAAAAUUAGCAAAAGAUAAAUAGUUUAAUGAUCCUAAAAGAAGCCGAAGGCCGCUCUGCUGUAUCAUCAGUUCAUCAUAAUCAUUGCACCAAAAAAAAAAACUAAAUCAUAAUAAUCAUGUUUGUUGUCUGUCACUCAAUUUCUUAAUCAACACUCAAACAAUGCUAACUUCAUCAAAAGUAAAAUAAACAGAAUAAUGUAAAGUUAAAAAAUAGAAUUAAGUUUAGCAAAUGGGGAGAAUAAUAGCUUAAAUAUAAUCUAGUUAUUGAUCAUCAAGAAGUUGCAAAAAUUUAAAAUAUAAAAAAAAUUGUUGUUAACCCCCAUUUAAAAAGGAAAUCUCACUGCUGUCUAAUUAAUCAGUUAUGAAGGAGAUUUUCAUUUGGAUCAAAAGAGAUUAUGAUAAUGAUUGGAGUGCUUAAUGAUCUCAGGAAAUGAUAGGUAGCACUUGUUUUAAAUUUGAAUAGGAAUAUCCACUCCCAUGGUGGAUGGUGGCAGUCCAAUCUUCCAAACAAAGUAUAACUUUAUCAACAAUACUUCGCAUAGACACAUAUAUACUGUGGGGCCCCGCCUGACAUAUGAGGCCCGCAGUAUACAUGUGUGUAUGUGAGUAUUAUGUAAUCUUUUUUAUGUGAUAGUAACAUUAUUUUAACUUUAUUUCAGAGGCAAAAGGGGAUACACAUCACCUAGAGAUAAAUACUACUUCAUCCCUCCCAUAAAAUAAUAAUAAUAAUAAUUUUGUAAGUAGUUUAAAAUAUUAACUAAUGCAUUAAUCAAAAUCAAUUAUUUUCGCAAAUUGACUAGGAAACAUUUAAAUGAGAUUAUUUUUGUACAACGGAUGGAAUAAAUAAGUGUUACCUGAAACGCGGUACGUUUCGGUACAGAGUACGAAUACGGGAAUACGGGGAUACGGGAACGCGAUACGCUACAUAAUUAAAAUGCGAUACGCUAUGAUAUCUUUCUAAAAAAUUUUAUAGUUAGGAAUUCUCUUAAAAUUUAAAUAUAAUAAACCUAAUUUCUAUAAUUUGUUAUAGUUAGGAGAAUUUAAAUGUAAUAAAUCUAAGUUUUAUAAAAGAUUUUUAGUUGAAUUAACAAUUUGAUUGGUUUAUAAAUAUUUUAAAUCAAAUGUAAUGUUUGAGCAUUUGGUACUAAGUUAAAAUAAUAUUAAUAUUUGUGCAAUUAUAGUUAAAUAACAAAAAUAAUUUGGUGCGCUAAAUUUAGAAUAUUGACAACCUUGUUUAGGUAUACAAAUACUAAUACGUGAUUCAUUAGGUCUAUAAAAAUAUAUGGCAAGUCUGGAGUAAAUCAUAAGAAAGUACAAGAAUUUAAUUUUCCCUUUGAAGGCCUAGAUGGAGAGAGACCCUUCCUAUAAACAACAAAAGAAUAGAAAAGCAAAAUGAAGAAAAAGGAAAAUAAGAGAGGAAAGCUUAGGUUGAACUUAAAGUAGAAUUCCAAAGCUUUCAGUUAAAAAGGUGACUAGUAUUAUUUGGUUAAGAAAAAGGCAAAAUCAGGUUUAGGUAUUAGAUAUGAUAUAUAAAUGGUAGGUAAGGUUGCAGCUAUAGAAACAUAAACCUAAAAAAAGUUGCACUUAUUUUUCUGAUCAGAUUUUGGGGUUGUCUGGGCAGUGGGGGAAGAAAGUCCCUUACCUAUCCAAUGAUUCCAAGAAAAGAUAGUGGAGUUAGGUACAAUAAUAUGGUUUUUUAACAAUAUUUUACCAGAAUUUAAUCAAGCUAUUUCAAUACAAUGAAAAUGUGAAUAUAGGUGAAUUUAAACAAGUUUCAAAUUUCAAUAUGCAUGUGUUAAAUAAGUUGUCUUUUUGGUAAAUUUUAAGGCAAAACUUUCUAUACAACAAUAAAUCAUUUAAAGUAUUUAGAGGCAAGUGAAAUAGAGAUUUUUUUUCCCUUCUAAUUAUAAAUGAAAUAGGGACAAGUUGAUUGAUGAAGUUGAUCUAUUAUCAUUGAUGGGUAGUUGGAAAUUACUUUAUGCAAUAUUUAAGGAAAAAGUUUGAUGCUCUGUUCCAUAAUGAUUUCUGCUCAUGACAAAGAAUUAUUACUACAUAAACAACUAGGCAAUAUAAUCUAUUAUUAUCAUGAUUAGAUUAGAAACAUAUGCCUACGUUUGAGCUCAAAUUGCAUAUUUAAUUUUGAAACGGAUGGAUGGAGUAUCAUGAUUAGAUAAAAUAUAAUUCAUCUAAUCAAUUUAAAAGACUAACAUAAAGGUUUGUCAUCAAGCAUUUACAAUCUACUUGUUGACCUACUUUUCCUACACCCCAUGAAAGGAGAAAUGAAGAGACCAGAGCAGGAAUUUGCUAAUUUUAUUAAGUGGUAGGUUGCCAUUAGAAAAUUUGUAGGCAGGUAAGAACUAAGAACUGACUAAUCCCCUGUUUCUAGCAUAGACUUUGGAUAGAACAGAAAAAGAAUCAAAACAACAAUUAAAAACUCAAUCCAAACUAAGGUGUUGUUAGAUUUGAUUAAGUGAUACAUGUCUGAAUCAAGAAUUAGUGAAAUCUGAAUGCUAGAUGACCAAUGAAAUAGUUGAAAGUUAUUGUAUAUAAAAAUAAGACUCAAAAUUCUGACUUAAGAAUUAAGAGGUAUCAAGUCUUAUUCUGGCUUACAAAAUAAAUGAUAAAUUAUGGUUGCUGAUAUUACCAAAAACAGAAAUGAUACCCCCAUAACAAAUAUGCAUUUAGUGACACUUUUUGUAGUUAUUUUAACAAUAAUAAUUAACACUUUAGGCGACACUUAUUGCUCGGGCAACAAUAUUUUUGCUUUGGCAAUAUUAAUCGCCUAAAUUAUAGGUCUGGAUAAAAGAGAUCUUGUACUAAAAUAUUGUCCAAACAAAAUAAAACAUCCAGAUUAUUUUAAUUCAGAUGAUUCGGAAGAGACCUACCGGAAUUUCUGGACAAUAAUUAAAGAGGGUAAUCAAUGCGCAGUUUAUGACCUGAAAAUACUCUUUAGAAACCAAAUCUUUGUCUAGGGUCACCAGUCCAUAAUAAAGCAUCAAGUAAAAUAUAUGUGCCUCUAAAUUCAAAGAAUGCAUGAAGUGGAGGGAGCCUUUCACAAACUGUUUAUAUAUAGCUAUAGCCUAUAGCUAUUCAAUAGAAUAUACCCCACAAGAGAAAGUAUUCAUUCAGCUGUUAUUUCAAUAGUUAACCUUUGAAUUUAAGCAAGUGAAAACAUAAUUGUGAAUAAGGCAGUACUUUGAACUGCACUAAGGAGAACCUAAUUAUGUAGACUGAUAAUGGAAACACAAGCAUUAUAUGAUUGUGACUGCAAAGAUAUUGGCUGCAAGCUCAGCUCAAACUUAUGUAAGACUUUAGUGCUACGGAGGAAUGGAAUUGGUGAAAGGAAUAAAAUAGAGAAGGGAAUGUAAUGGUGAGUGGAAUUGUAAAGAAAGAGUUGCAUUAUAUAGCCGCUUUUGGACUGUCAUUGACACUUGACCUUUUCCAAUAAUCUCGUACAUCUUAUUAAACAUUUACACUUUUGAAUUUAUCCUAUGUGGAAUUCAUGUGAAAUAUCUCAAUAGGAAUGAUUCAUUCCAUUCCUGACUAGAAUGAGUCAUUUCAUACUAUCGCCUAAGAACAAAUUUGAUAAGAAUGAAAAUGGUUCAUUCCAUUUCAACAGAACAACCAAAUGCAAAUUUUCCAUUCCAUGAGAAUGAGUUAUUUCAUUCCCACCUUCAUUCCUUCAAUCCAAACAUAUCAUAAAAGUUGAGCAAAUUAAAACAAAGAUCUUAGUUCUAGGUUCUAACUAGUAUCAAAGUAUACUUGGUGCGUGUUUGGCUUGAAGCUUUUGGAGCGUUUGGAGGCUAAACACACAUGAAAAUAUUGCUUGUUUCACAAAGGCAUUUCCAAAUACAAUUUAUGGAACUCACAAACGCAACAAACUCCCCAGACCAAAAAUAAUGUGUCGUGUUUGGAGGUCCAGACACACUUCAAGCUCUAUAAGCCAACGGCCCAGACACACUAAACUAAACAAGCCUGGCAACUGUGAAUUAUUUUUAUUGCAGCAAUGCAGAAAACUCUACUUGUGUUGGGAUUAACUGCGACAGCCACGCUUGCUAAUUAGUGUUACUUUAUUAUCAGUCAUUUUUCAAAUUUUAAAAUAAUUCAACUUGGUUAAAUAUACUGCGAAGCUCCUCUACGUACCAGGAUAGAAUUCAAUUAGUCAUCCAUGAACUCUCAUCCUCUACCGGAACGUAGUUCUCAUCCACUGAUACUAAGUGUAGCUCAUGAUAUACAACUCUUUUUUCUUUUUUGCUCAUUUUUCUCACUAUAAUUAUUUUAUAGUAGUAUAUAUAAGUAUACAUUGUGUAUAUAUACAAGGUCAAAAAGUUCUCUAGAUAAGUCAUUCCAUUGUCAAACGGGGCAUGUUCAAUAGUCUGGUUAAGAGAGUGAGGGACUGCAAACAUGUGAGUGAGCAAAAUGGACACAAAGUCAAAAACAGAGAAUAUCUUACUCACAAUCUAACUGAGAGGCAAUAGUGGUUAGUAUAUCCCAGAAACCAUAAAAAAAUUUGGAAAAAAUAAUAAUCUUAUUUUAGAAAAAAAUUAACUUCAAUGCAUCAAUUAAUAAUAAAGGGACUGCAUCACUUACCAAACUUUAAUUGGGAUGAUUAGCCAAAGAUUAAGCUGAUGAUAACGCCAGAGCAAUAAUUAUGCUGCCAGAACAACUGUAAGGCAAACAUAAGAUUUUUCCUGAGUGACAAUCAAGAUGAAGCUUGAUUAAAGAUGGCUUUCGGCUAACUCACAAAAUCCAGUUCAAGCUAACCAGACAGUGCCAACAAAAUAUGUGGUACCCGUUUGAAGUAAAUUACCGUCAUAAGAGAGAAUCUGCUAAUUAAUGAAUAUCCUGUUGUCAAGUGUGUUAAAAAGAUGUAGCAAAAUUGUUUAGAAACCCCCCACUGGGGGCAUCUAUUUCAAUUCUAUAUAGCACGCAAGUUGCUUAUUGGUUGAAUCGCUUGUGCAAUAUAUUUUAUAACAGCAGAAUCAACUCUUAAGAGCAUUAUAAGGUAACAGAAAUGUGGACCCUUAUCCUGGCAUCCUGCUCCUAAGAGUUACAGGGGUAUUGAUUGGUGAAGCCAUCAAACCGAACUUGCAUAAGGUUUUAUGAUAAGAUCAUGUCUAUUAAAACUUUUCAAACUCCAGCCUGAGGGUCAGACAAUGGCCAUGUUUAAAAUUUCCUUACUACAUUCAAGGGAGGUGCAAGGAAUAAACUUUGCACUGUACUUAUGGGCCAAAAUCAUGGAGAUGGGGGGAGUUGGCUACAAUUAAUCACCUCAUCCACCAUCUAAACUGUUAGAACAAACUAUACAGACAUAAUCAACCACAUAAAAUAAAGACAAGAACACAAGAUUUACGUAGAAAAUUCAGAUCGGAAAAAACCACAGAUGAGAGGCAGAACUCAGAAGAUAUCAAUCACUAUAUCAAAGUACGAAGAAUACAAGCUAUAAAUCUCUAUCUAUAAGAAACUAUUAACACUGAGAAGGAAAAGAAUGCCGAAACCCUAGCUGUAAUAACAUAACGAGUUGAACCGAAGCGAAUAAAGAGCUACUUGAAUUCGACUCGAAAUAUUAAAUUCAUACUCGAAUUCGAAUUGUAUUUGAAAAAUUAUACUCAGAUUCGACUCGACUCGAAUAUUUAUUACUCGAAUUCGAUCCGACUCGAAUCGAAUUAUAUUCAAACUAUUCGUGAGCUUCAAAUUCAAGCUCAAAUUCGAGUCUCCACAAAAUAACUAAUUUUAUAAUAAAUAUAAUUAUAAAUUGAAUUUGUUAUUUUACUUAGAAAUGAGAAAAUAUAUUUACCAUUACACUUUACAAAUAUAAAAUCACAAUUAAAAGCAAAAGCAAAAGCAAAACAAAAUAAUAAUAAUUAAUUAUCCUAAUUUGAUUUAAUUUUGUAUAUAUUAUAAGAGAAUGUAUCGAGUAUCUAAUCGAAUCUGUAUCAAUCGAGUAAGAAUCGAAUCAUAAUCGAGAAUUCGAGUAGCUUGAAUCUUAAACGAGUCGACUAUAAAUUUGCUCAAAUUCUACUCUUAUUUUAUUUUUGAACUAUUUUUUAUGCUUAGAUUUGGAUCAUAUUAUUAACGAAUCCGAGUCUCGUUCAUAUUUUUUAAAAGUCGGGCACGAAUCGAGCCCGAACGGUUAAUCUCGUUUACUACCUUAUAUAUAUAUAGUCGGGCUAAAAACAUAAUAGACCCCAAAUAACAUAAAAGAUAUCUACCUCAGUCCUCCGCUACCACCACUUGGCACUAAACCUCAUAUUUCUUUCAUUUCGGGUCGCCGCACAAAAUAUUUAUAGUUGGAUCUCAAGCUAGACUUUAACACACAUAAAAUAAAGAGUCAAGAAAAUUCAGAUAUUGUAGAGAAUAGAGACAAUUCCAAUCAUGAACGGAACAGUUUCAUCAUAAUAUACAACACCUUAGAAUUUUUUUGACAAAUAAAGUAAACUAAAUGCAUCAGCUCACAAUGUGGAGUAUGAGGGAAAAGAUCAACUCAUGGUUUUGAUGGGUUGCAAAGGCCCGAAAUUGGGCACAAACUUGGCCCUAUGGUGAGCCAAACCGGUACUUGCCCAUAUUCCACCAUAGAUCCUUUGUUAUUCUUACUCCAUCACAGUCUCACUCAAAAAGUCAUAACUGAAUGUAUUAUUGGUAGUAACUUAAUUUCUUAUAUACAGAUAAAUUUUUUCAAUAUACCAUCAGUCUUCGUGUGCCCAACUCCAGUAACCCGAUCGGAUGAUCUGACCCGACCUUCUUUUCAAGAGUCAACUUUGAUAUCAUAUGAAACAACUCGAGUCAAAUUCCAAGUCUGAAAUAAAUUUCGGGACAAAUCCUAAGUCCAAAUAGAAUCAAAUCCAUCCAAAUAAUACCUAAAAUUACUGACUCAAUAAUAUCUUCUUGGGUCAUAUUAGUCUACCACAUACUCACCCAAUCAAUGUGGGAAUGGGGUGUUAUAUUAUCAGCAAAUGCUGUGCAGCUAAAUAGCAUUGGCCACUAAGCUUUCAGGAUACAUAAGAUGUACUGCAGUCUGCAGAAGACUAAAUUUGGUAAAUCAGGACCGAGACGAUAAAGGCAUCAACAGUAAAGCAAGAAUACAAGAAAUGCAGUGUAUAGAACUAAUACAAGCCUUCGCAAAUAAGGUUGAGUCCUUAGUAUUGAUAACAUGCAGUUGAUAAUUCGACCUCAAAAGUAAUUGAGUUUAUAAAUUAUUAUUUAAACUAUCUAAUUACAUAUAAUAUAAAUUUCAAAAUUAUUUUUCAGUCAGAAUACAAGACUCCUUUGACACGAUUAAUUUAUACAGUUUGACUCCAUCAAAAAUUUAAAUCAUUUUAAAUACAAUUAACCCAAAUUAAAAUACUUCUAAAUACAAUUUAGAUUAAUAAUUUACAACUUACAACUUCUAGUGCAUACUAAUAAUAAUCACAAAAACUGCAAACUAAUAAUAAUCAAAGUUUAUAUGCAUACUAAUAAUAAUGCAAACUGCCUAAUUUUCCAUUCCUUUUAGAGAAACUUAAACAUCAAUUUGUUCCGUAUCAAAAAUAUUAAAACUUUGGACUCAUAACAUAGAAACUACUGAAAAAAGUUAGUACAGAACGUAGCGGAGCGGAGCGAGUGGCUGGCUGCAGGUAUGUCGCGGGGUGCGCCGAUACAAGACUGGGAGGGAUGCGGGGCGCGCCCAGAUCGGUUCAACUUCUGCACAUGUGAUGCGGGGCUCGCCAGUGACAGCUUGGGAGCGGCGCGGGCCAUGUUGGUCAGCGGACUGAAGUUUAAUGGUUUGUUUUUUGGAAGAACAUUAUAGCUAUUUGAGCCAUAAUGUGAAAUAGAGUUGGAAUAUGAUUAAUUAUUAUAAAUGUAAAGCUCUAUGUAACAAAAAAUUAUCAAUAAAACAACAAGUUGCAUGUUAAUUUUUUAUUGUCGUGUGCGUGUGUGAUCCUAAUUAUAAUAAAAAAACAUAUCACAAAUAAAAUUAAAAAAGAGAGGCUCAAACUCACCUGAUCAUCAGCAAUUAAAGAAAGUUCUUUAAAUUAUCUGAACUUCCACUUUAUGGGUCAAUAGACAAAGCACAUUUGGCCCGUGGGCAGUGGCUACAUGACCCGCUGGUCUACAGGAAGUACAAUCAGAGGCUCAUUUUGGGAAUGUUUCUAAAUAGUUUUUCUAUAUGGCGGGUUUGGACUCAAAUUCGGGUUUUGCUCUUCUUAUCCAUUUCGAUUUCUUCGUUAAUGAUCCUGGUCGGUGUUAGGAGAGCGCGGUGCAUUUUAAGCUUUCACCGCAACUGUAAUAUGGAGUACAUUUUUUAACUUUUAGCAAUCAUGUUUGUGAGGCCUCAAAUUUUAUGAAUAAAGAUUUAAAUUUCUCAAAAUAUUUUUUUAAAUAUUAUGGAGUGGAUUUGAUAUAAUGGUAUAGUUGUGGGUAGUAUUUAUAAAUUUUGCAAAGUAUGCAAGUUGUUGUAUUAUAUUCGAUUGGUCAGAGAAUAUUCUUUGUGUCGGGGAAUAUUCGUACGACGGCACAAUUAUUGGUGGACCCCACAACAGAAUUAUUGUCGGAUUGAGAAAACGACAAAAAUAUUUUAUUGAAAAUAACGGCGGAAGUUUUACCGUUAAUACUGUUGAACUACUCGGUAGUAAAAGUACAGUAAUACGUGUGGUUGCAUAGUAGCACACGGUAUUGAUUAUUAAUGCUUACGUGAGAAGUCACUCAGCUUUGUUCAAUUAUUGAUAUAGUAAUUGUUGCAUAGUAUCUCACGUUAUUUGAUUCAAUUAUUGUCGAUAUUUUAUAUAAUCAAUAAUUGAAAUGACAGAGUUAUUAAUAUUAUAAAUUGCAAUAUUAACGAUGUCUAGAAGUUCUGCCAAUGAGAGGUUUGGUCGGCUAAUUGCGCGUCAAUAGGGAGAAAUCCUUAUUGGAAAGCCCCCUCUUUCUUGGGAACGACCUGAUCGAUUAAUAUUGUGAAUUGUAAUAAAGAUGAUAAAUGUUGUUAAAAUUAUUAAGGUAAUUUUUUUAUGAAGUCUACUUAUUUUAUGGAUUCCUAUUUACCCAUUUUUCAAAAUAAUCGGUAGAAAAUUUUUAAAGGUGGAGCCCACAUGUGGCCCGGGAAAAUAAUUUUAGAAAUUGAAGAGUAUACGUAUGAAAGUAUAUGUGUGUAUUGAGUAUAUGGUGGGAGAAAAUGAGAUGUGAAAGUGAUGAGUGUGUGAUGGGUGUGUGAGUGAAAAAUGGUGGAAAAGUGGUAGUGUGAUAGUGAUGUGUAAGAGUGUAGUGAAUUUAAUUAUUGGGUGGGUGGGUGGGUGGGGGAUAGGUGUUGGUUAUGGGAGAGAAAAAUUAAGUGGUGUAUAUAUAAUAUUGAUAUAUAUAAGUUGAAAACAUGUGUUUAUAUAUAUGUAUUAUAUUUUAAUUUUUGUUGUGAUUUUAUUGGUUAGUUGAUUGACUUUAUUGUAUUUGGUUGAAGAAAUAAUUCUGCAGAAAUAAUUCGUUCAUAAACAGUACACUUCCAUUCUCCUAUAAAUAGAAGCUCAUUCCUUAAUUAUUUCUUACAAAUUCACUGAAACUCCAGAGAGAGAAAUUAUAGAGAAACUAUAGAAAAGUAUUCUGCUACUUCCCUACUCUUAUAUUCAGUUUUUUUUUUACGGUAAAGGGUGUUAUUUCUUUUGUAUUCAAGAAGAGAACUUCUGUUAUUCCAUUUCUUUAUUGUUCUGUUGGAAUAACCUGUAUACGCGGACUACCCUAUACUUGGUGACAUUCUUCUAUUAUUCUAUUGGAAUAUCUUGUCUGUGUGUUUUACACCGGACCUAGUUCCAUUAUUUAUUAUUCAGUCUUUAUUAUUCUGUCGGAAUAUUUUAUCUGUGCGUUUUACGCCGGACCUGGUUCCAUUAUUUAUUAUUCCGCACUUAUUAUUCUGUUGGAACAUCAUGUCGGUGUGAAUUUCACCUUACCUGGUUCCGUUAUUAUUAUUCUGUUGGAAUAACCUGUCUAUGCGAAGUACCGCAUGCAUGGUGAUUUCUUUUGUUAUUUCAUUCGUUAUUAUACUCAGUUGGUUAAAAUUUUGACUUCUAUACUCCAUGAAAUUAGUGAAAUAUCCUUGAUAUUUGUGCUUCAUCCAGUAUUUUUCGUGAAAAUAUUCUUCUGAGCAUUCUUGAAUUUUACUCUACAAAGCAGUAUCAUGUUGACAAUUUGGACGUUAUUAGUUCCUGAAUAAAUUAAUUCGUGAACUUGUUUUAUUGAAUUCUUAUAUCAUUGUCAUCAUCCUCAUGUUUAUAUUUUUUUGAAAGUCAUCUGUGGCCUGUAGUGCAUAGAUGGACUUGGUAUGAUUAUGACCAGGGAUUAUUCGGUGUAAUCAUGACCGUAAUGUUACAAAUGAUGUGGUAAAAGUCCUCAUUGGCCCGUAGUGCAUUGAUGGACAGUUGUUGGCAUGAUCAUGACCAUUGAUGAAUACACAAAUAUCCUUGGCCCGUAGUGCAUGGAUAAUUUGUGGUCGUGAUACUAAUGAAUAUCCUUGGCCGUAGUGCAGGGAUGAUGUGGAUUAUUUAUUAAGCUGAGUCUCAGCGAUAAAAGUGAUGAAAAACCUUUUAAAUCAUAAAAGAUAGUAGAUUUUAUUCUCUACUUGACUCUUUUAAUGGAUUGCUUGAUCCGCUGCAGUUAAACUUGAUGUCUAUUGUAUUUUAUCAGUUUAACAUUGUUGAAGGCUAAUGAUAAUUUAUUUUGCAUUAUCUUAGUCAUAAUAUUUCUUGCUGGGCUAGUUAAGCUCACCCUUUCUUUCACUGUUCUCUUCAGAAAAUGAGAACGUAGCUCGGACUAGUCGGGGAAUGGAGUGAUGGUCCUAGAUGGUGUCUUAGUAGUCCUCACUAUUCUAUAAAAUAGUGUGAUAAUAAAUAUAACGAGGACUCUAUUUGAGAAUGGAUAUUGUCUAGAAGACAAUAUUUGUAUUUAAACUCACAACAUAUGUUUUGUCGUAUUUUACACGACUGUUGUAUUAUUAGUUUGUAUUUGAAUUUUAUACCAUGUAUUUGGCGAUUCAAGAUGGGUGAUGUAUACCUAUUUUGGGAGCGUCACAAUGUUAAUGAGGUUUCUUGCAGUUGUGAUGCGGUUUCUUGCAGUUGUUUAUUAAUUAGUAUUAUUUUUAUUCAAAUUAAAUUAAUAACAAUUUAAUAUUUUUCUUAACAGUAACUAGAAUGUUCCAAAUAAAGAAUAACGAUUAACAACAUAGUUUAUAAAACAUUGCUCUUUGAAGUCUUUUAGUUAUAUUAUCUUCCUUCGAAUUUUGUGAAAUGUAAAAACGAAAAAUGAAUUAAGUCAUGAAUAUGAAUAACUUAUAUUUAUUUUACUUUUUAACAAAAAUUAAAAAAUAUAUAUAAAUAACAUAAUUGUAUUUCUAAACUUUGGAAUGAAAUUGAUUUCUCAAAAAACAUAUUAAUUAUUAAAACAUUAAAUAUAAAAAGAUUUUUUGUAUUACAUAUACUUAUAUUUAUUCGGUAAUAUGUUUGUUAGUAUAUAUAAAAAUCUAUAUGUAAAUAUAAUUAUAUAAAAUUGUAUAUAUAUAUAUAUAUAUAUAUAUAUAUAUAUAUAUAUAUAUGUGUGUGUGUGUGUGUGUGUGUGUGUGUGGUUUUGUCGGUGAAGUUGAGUUGCGGUUCCUAGAUACAACAAUAAGCGUAAAUGUGUGGUUCCUAAUUUUGCGGUUUCUAAUACUCACACCUACUCAUUGUUGUUUGGACGUUGUGAUUGGAUUGGUUGAUAGGAGGAGAAAUCGUUUUUUGUUUCUUCUAAAUAUGUAUUUAGUAUUAUUAUUCUUUUAUUUACAAAAUUUAUUUUUCCAUAUUAAUUGAUUUUAAAAAACUGUGAAGGUGUAUGGUAGUAUUUAAUACAUGUAUAGAUGUACGCAUGUUUUUCUAUUUUAUUAAGGGAUUCGACAAUUUUUUAACUUAAAGUUGAGUAAUUUUUUAUUUUUUAACUCCUAAUUACUCUUAUAAUUAAAAAAAUUACCUUUUUAUAUAUAUAAUCUCUUAAUCAUCCUCCUUCAUUCCUACAUAAUUUCUCCAAAAAAUAAUAUUGAAUAGAAAUUACGUAAAAAAACACUAUUCGUAAAUCGUAACACUUUAAUUCAAUUUUAUAUCAAAACAUGCGGUAAAAAUAAUUAUUUGUAUAUAAAAAAUUAAACUACUAAUAAUAAUAUUAUAAUGACUUAAAAAGAUAUUAUAAUUUAAGAUCUUGUUUAAUUAAGAUUUAAUACUUGACUAGAGUACCGUCUUACAAUUAUUAAAUUGCACAUUGUACACAGCAUGUGUGACCACAAAGACUAAUACGUAAUAAAAGAAUUGCAUUAUUUUUUUCAAAUGUCUUUUUCCACAUAAAUUGCAUAUUUCAUUUGCAAUUAAAGUGACACUGACAUCAGUUGGGACUCGAAUAUAUUACAUGGCUGUUAACACAUACACUUACAACAAUAAUUAAUAAGUCGAUCUCAAUCACAGCUAGCUCUUAUUCCCCAUUAUUUGAGUUAAAUUUUGGUACCUCUUAAAUAACCAUAAAGAGCUGAAUUCAUUCACCUACUUUUUAUAAUUAAUAAUUAUAAUAUAAUAAUCAGUAAUAAUCCUUAUACAUAUAUUAUUUUAUUAAUUAAUAUUAUUGAUAAUUCAUAUAAAAAAUGGUGAUUGAAUUUAUAUUAUAUUUUUACUCACAAACAAAUUACGUAGUCAACUACUACUCCCAAAUUAAUUAAAUAGUCAAGUAUUAUUCUUUAUUAGCAUUCACAACAGUUUCUUUAUCUUUAUUCCUAUUUUGCAGUACUAUUGGUCAUUAUAUAAAAUAGGGAUUCAAUUUUGUCACUAUGUACCCAACAGGUUCCUUAUAUUGAUUCCUUAAAUAAUAAAAUUUGAAAUUUAAAAAUUCCAACGGUCAAAACAUCAAAUUAAUAAUAAUCUUAUAUAUAAUUUAUAAAAGAGAGAGUAUAAUUUAUCAAUUAUAUUCCACUGUAAAAUAAUUUUUAUUUUAUUUUAAAUUUUAAGUAAUUUAUGGAGUGAAUAUUGAAUGGAUUGUAGUUGCAAAUGUACAUAAGAUCAAUAUUAAAUUUUAAAAAGUUAAUUUGUGAUGUUUUUAAAUUUAAAUUUAAUAUGAUUAAUUUAAAUUUUGAAAAUAAUAAAUUUAUAAUUAAUAGUACUUUUAUAAUAUUUAUAAUUGUAUUGACAUGAAUUAAAUAAAUUUAUAUCAAUUUAAAUUUGAAUACGGUUGAUUUUUUUUAAAAAAAAAUUAAUAUUAAGUUUAUAAUUUGAAAAUGAAAUAGUAAAAAAUUGUCAAGAUGUGUAUGAUUGAUGAGUUGUCCACUUAAAUAAGGGUGUGAAAUAUCAUUUUGUAUAUAUAGAGAACGGUCUUUUGAUUCUCUCACACUAGGGAUUAAAAUAGAGAGUCAAAUAAGGAUAAGAAAACUGUUGGAUAAUAAUUUGUUGAUGUAUUCUUCAAAAUUGCGAAUAGAGAGUUGAUUAGGAAAACUGUUGUUAAUGCUCUUAGUCUACUAUUAAUUUUAUAAUUCUUUAUAUUUGUGAAUCAAUUAGUGAGUGGAGUAUUCAUUAGCUCUAUAUAUUUUUUAAUUUAAAUUAUAAUUAAUUUAAGUCUCAUGAUUAAUUUAUAUGACCUUUCAUGUUGACAGCUAUUCUCUCUAAGGUCGUUUUGACUGACCACUAAAAAUUUAGCUGGUCGUAAAAGAGAGUAGCGGUCAGCCCUAGCCAAACCCUUAUUAGAUCUUCUAUUGGACGGCAGAAGAUGAAUUAGUUGGAAUAAUACUCAUAAUUAAUGCAAGUUAUAGAUCACUUCUCUCUCUCUCUCUAUAUAUAUAUAUAUAUGUAUAUAUAAUUUAGUUCUAAAAGUAAAAUUGUGUUGGUUUAUUAAAAAAUUAUUAAAUAAUUUUAGUCAAAUUUAACUAAUGCUUAUAUUGUGUUUGAGGAUCCAGUUCCCCUGACACUGUUUAGCGUCAACUGAUCUUUUCACAGCGUCCAUUCAAAUUUGAGCGGUCGUGAUUAAAAGUAUAUAGUUGAUGCAUCACAAGUGAUAAUAGUGAAACUCGACUGAGAUAUAUGGCAUAUAAAAUUUAUAUCUAUCUAUAGAGUCCGGAUCUAGUUCGGGAUUCCGGAUUAUAAAAUACGGAUCAUUUUUUUUUUGUUUUUUUUUUUGAAACAAUUAAAAAAAAUAAAAAUAAAUUAUGGAAUUGGAAUUUUUACAUAAUACAGUAUUUUGGGUGUGAUUUGGAUGCCUAUACCAAAAUAUGUCUGUACAGUCUGUGCAGAUUGUACAUAUAUUUUUUGGUAUAGGUAUCCAAAACACACCCAAAAUAUUUUAUUAUGUAAAAAUUCCAGUUCCAUAAUUUUUUUUUUUAAAGUUAUUUCAAAAAAAAAAAGUAAAAAAAAAUAAAAAAAUAGGGUCCGUAUUUUAGGACCUGUCCGGGAGUCCGGACAAGAUCCUGUGUGUCUAUCUAUAUAUAUAUAGUUUGGUUCUCUCCAACGAAUUAUAGGGAACAAAUUAAAAACAAAUUGAUUAUAAAGACGAUUUUAUUUGUCACUAUAAUAUAAAAAAAUAAUUUUUUAUACUAUAUAUAACGACAGUAUAGUCGGUUCAUUUUUGAUUCGUUCUUUAUGGUUAAUUGGAGAGAUGAACCUUACGUGUGUAUAUAUAUAUAUAUAUUCCAUGCACAUACAUUUGGACUGCUACGAGCAAAAAAACCAGUGGCAGCACGACAAGUGCAUAUAUAACCGUAAAGUAUAUGGAGUAUAUAGUACUGAUCCUGCUGUCAUAUUAACGUAGCUGCCAUCAAAGCUCCAAGUUGUUUGUUGUCAUGACUUCUUUUGUGCAUCAGAUAGAUAGAUAAAUAAAUAUGUGGCACAAUUUCCAAUGGAAUGGAAGCAAUCACGAAUAGUGCAGAUGCAGAUCCCGACAAGCCCAUAUUAUAUAAUACUCCCUCCCUCCCUAAUUAUUUAACGUUUAAACUUUUUUAUUUGUUCUUAAUUAUUUGACGUUUGUUUAAAUCUAAGAAAAUUAAUGACAAUUUUUCCAAAAUUAUCCCUCAUUAAACUCUCUCUCUCCUUAUCCCAACAAAACUCUCAUUAUCCCAACAAAAAAUGUAAGGGUAUUAUAGAUAAUUGAGUACUAUAUUUAAUGUUUUACAAUCAUUAUCUUAAUUCUUAUGCCCACUUCUAAAAUCUCAAAUAAUUAAAGACGGAGGGAGUACUUCUUUAUAGCUGAAAUAUGAAAAAUGUAGCAUCCCAACCCAAAAUGAAUCCUUAGGACUUGCUACAACUAGUCUACGUACUGAUGGUACACAGCCAAUACUGUGCAUGCAUUGCCAUUGCCUGCAAAAAUACGUAGUAGUAUAAUUUUAGGUGCCUACAAAUUAAAUGUUAAAUUAUUCAGACUGGCCAUUCGUAACAUAUAUUAAAAAGAAUAAGUCUGGACAGACAGCUGAAUGGGACCGGUGCAAUUUUUUUUUUAAAUUUAUUGUGAUUUUCAAAAAAUGUAUAGUAUUUAUUUUAACAUGAAUUUUUAUAAAAUAUAGUGUUUUAAUUAUAAUUUAGAAAUAUAUACAAAAAUAGGGUUAUACAGUCUAAAACACUAUAUUUUAUAAAAAUUUCUGCCUAUCUGCGUAGAAGGACCUUAUUAAAAAUCCUUCUCAAAUCUGAAAUCCAAUCCCAUCCCAUUUCAAUCCCCCAAAACAAAAACAAUUAUAUAUAUACAUAAUUUCAUCUCUUUUAUUUAUAUAUUUAUAUCUAUCUAUAUUAUAAAGAGAGAAAGAAUAGAAAGCAGUUAAUUUUGAUGAAGAUAUGUCACCUUUAAAAAAAAUUUACUUGAUUCUUUCCUCAUCCAUGUUUUUCAAGUUUUAUUUUAAUAUUUUAUUUUUUAUUUCUUAAUUGCACACAUAAUGUGUGUCACGUAGAUUAGUAAUUAUGAAAUCGGAGCAAAUUCACGUUUAUUGUUUGAUGAAGUCAUAUCAAAUUAACCUUGUAGUACUAUAUAAAUUUAUCUUCGACUCUCUUCUCUUUUCCCAAAUUUACUUUAUCUGACGCUUUAUUUUACUAGUAAUUAUACUAUAAUAAUUUUUAUUUUAUAUUUGUAUAGCUAUUAUUUAUAUUAAUAAUACUAGUAAUAAUUAAGGACGAUGGCAAUAUAUCGGAACGUCGGUACCAGGAGCAGUGGCAUAAUUUAACGUUAUUAUUAUUAGUAUGGAAAAAGUUAUGAUGACGAGAUUGAUUCUGUCCAUAAAUUGUUUGAAUGAUUGUACCAUUACACAUGGGUUUCAUAUUAAUGUAUACCACUAAUUAUUAAGACUCUUUUUCUUAUUUUAAUUGAUGUUACAAGUUGUGGUCCCACUAAGUUAUUAUUGGUGCAUAUGAAAUAAUAAUUCAUAUGGAAUAUGGACAUGCAAAUUGAGACAGUAAUGUAUUGAUUAAUUGAUCAAUUUAUAAUAAAAUUAAUUUUAUAAUAAUCAAAUUCAAUAGAUAGAUAAGGUCCAAUCUUGAAAGUAGCAUUUAAUUAUUAUUAGCACAUACAUGUCAUACACAUAAAUUAUGUUAAAUAACCUAAUUUUUUUUAUAAAAUUAAAAGAUUGAAUAUAAAAAUAAUAUUUUAUAAAAGAUAAUAUUAAAAGAAAACAUGAUAUGAUCGCACUAAUAACUUCUGACUUCAAAUUUCCUUGUAUUAUAUUCUAGUUAAAUUUAAGCUUUUAAUACUUUUCUUAGUUUCUAUGAGCCUACCCAGUAUUUAUUUUAAUAGAGUUGUUUACAUAGUAUGGUCAAUGGUGAAACUAUGAUAGGAUUAUCAAAAAUCCCUUAACCCCAAAGUGUAAGCAAUAUUUUUCCUUAAUGUAUUAUAAAUAUAUUUAAAUAUUUCCUCAUAAUUUAAAAUAUUAUACCUUUUAGUCUAUUAAAAUUUUAAAUACUGUUGUUAUUAGACUUUCGGUACAACUAAUUUUUUUUGGUAUUCAAUGAAAAAAGCUUAACAGAAAAUACGAGGACGUAGUUAGUAUAUAGUCCUUUUGUUCCAUAAAAAUGAUACAUUUAUUAUUAUUUUUAAUUAUUUAUUAAUACUGUUAUAAUAUAGCUUUUAUUUUGUUAUCACUAUUUUAUUAUAAUGACAUCAUUGCUUAACUGACAAAAGUAUUUUUUGUAGAUAAAAUCGAAACAAAAUUUAUUACAGUUAUUUACAAAUUAAUAAUAUAAACGAGAAUUUGUUUUUGCGAGAGGAAAGCAAUAUAUUCUAUAUCAUAAAUAAUAUAUGUGCAAAACACUAUAUUAAAAAAAAAUUGCACAAAUAAUAGGAGCCAUAUACUAAUAAAUGUACUAUAAAAAAAUUCAAGUAACAAAUCUUAUUUUCUACCUUUUAUACUUCAUCCGUUCUAAAAUUAGAGAUACAAUUUAAUUUUUGAUAUUAAACGACGAUGUAUUAAACUUUAAAUUGAUGUGAAUUUAUUUAAUUUUAGUUGAUAAAAUUAUUAUAAUUGUAUAUGUUAUAACAAAAACUAUUAAUCACAAAAUUUAUGUCAUUUUAAAAUUUUACGGGUCAUGCCAAUUUUAAAUUUUAACAUGCCGUCAUCUGAUUUAAAAAAAUUAAAUUGUAUAUUUAAUUUUCGAACAAAAAUAAUAUUAUUUAAAAAUAACUUUUAAUGUAUAAUUUGUGCAUAUAAGAGUAUUCUCCUACUUAUAUGGAGUAUAAUAAUAAUAAUCACACAAAUUCCGGCCACAUAACAAAUUCAGGUUGUGCAGGCUUAAGAAUCCUGAAUUUGAUUAGCCGUGGAAAUUGAAUUAGCUUCUCCUUAACUCGAACCUAACGACUCACCGACACUUCUCCCUCUCAACUCGGAAGAUGCUACCGAGUCUAGCUGAGUCAACAAGAACAAUAAUGUCCGAGUCAAAUCAACUGUACUCAGCCUCUUGAAAAUCGCACAUAUUCACACUUCUGCUAGUGACAAGGAAACUUCUCCCAUGUUCUUCUUAAACCUCACCCAUAUUUCCCCACUCAUCACUCUUACUUCACUCAUUUCAUUUCAGAUCUAAAACACACUGUUUCAUAGACUAACCCUAACCCUUUGUUUAUACCCAAGUGUAAAUUCUUUGUAAUUGUUUGAAUUUUCUUUGUUGAUAAUGUAGAGUUUUAAUUGAAGAUGUGCAUUGGGUCCGAGAUGGGUCUGAAGUGGUUCGAACCGAUGAGUAGAAGGGUUCCGAGAAGGGUGUGGUUAGGGUCUCAAAGCUCAAUGGGCUUACUGGUGGGUGGAAAUCACACCUCCUCCAGGUUUUGUACUCGCUAAAUUACUUGUUAUUCUGCUGUUUGUUUCACUCAAUUUCACUCUUUGAUCUGAUUAUUCUGUUCAAAAUCAAAUCUUGGGUACAAUUAAAACAUCGUUAUAGAUCUGUUAUACGAAGAAGACUAAGAAUUUGAGCUAAAAAUUUGAAAAUCUGAACACUAGACAUGGAUUUUAAGGCCUUGAAAUGGCAAAUCCUUCGUGGGUCAUUAGCCAAGCGUUUGUUUCUGAGAGUUUUUAUGUUCACAUUGGCUAUGGCUAUCAUUUCCUUUGUUCAAAUGGCCAAUGAUAUUCGAAAAACUGAGCCUUUCUUGUCGAAAUUUGAUGAAUGCCCAUUGGAUAUUAUUGCAACAAGCCCAUAUGCGAGUUUGAUCGGGCUUUUGAAACCCAUAUCUGCUUUUGCUUCGCGUAUCUUUGGAGAUUCAGUGCCGUGCAAAGAAAAGGAUUUGACUAGGAGCGUGUUUAAAGAGCUGAUGGAAAAUCAUAUGUUGGAUUCUGGUGCUAGAGCUCUGUCUGUUGGGGAGGGAUCAGCUUCGGCUGUGGUGUUGUUGCGAGAAUUGGGGUUCGCUAGUGCAAUUGGUGUUCUUAGACACCCAUUUUUCUCCCUUUGGAAGAAACGAUUCGUGUAUGAGCUCAAUUUCAAGGACAAUUAUUUUGAUUUCGUGUUCUCAAGAGCUCUUGAUAGGGUCUCUGUUCCAGCUCUUCUCGUGCUAGAGAUUGAGCGUGUCUUGCGUCCUGGUGGAAUUGGCGCAAUACUCGUGGGUACCCCUACUUUCUACUCGGGCAGCCUGGUAAGGUCUGCCUCUCCGGUUUCAUCAUUUUUGAAGGGUUCCAGUGUUGUCCAUGUAUGUGGUAUUGGCUCCUCUACACUUGUAAUAUUCAAGAAAAGAUUCGACAAUGUUGAUCUAUUUGAGCAUUACCGGCUUCCUGACGAGUGCCCAUCAAUUACAAACAAUAAGCCCUUUAUAAAGCACAUUGAGCCUCUUGCCGUAAACCAACUGGGACAACUUGAAACUGAAAUUUCCUACUUACCCAAAUUCAUGAAUAUUUCCUCAAGAAAUAGGUUGGUUUAUAUCAAUGUUGGUGCUGGUGAGUUGGUGAACUCUAGCAUAGAUGAAAUCUUCAAGCCCAAUUACCAUGUCCUGCCACAAGCUUUUGAUGUUUAUGUCAUUGAUCAUAACACUUCUGCGCUCUCUUCUUAUGUGAGCAAACCUGGUAUUACCUUUGUCUAUCAUCCAGGACUUAUUGGAAAUUAUUCUGCUCCACUUCUUCUGUCAGAUGAAGAUUUGAGUGCACCACCAGAGGCAGAUGGAUUUGCAUUUGUUCCCUGGUUCAAACAAACAAUUAAAAACGCGGACUUUGUGGUCCUUAUGAUGAAUGCAAGAGUGGCAGAGCUGAAAAUUCUGUUUGAAUUAUAUGAAAGUGGAGCAAUAUGCCAUGUUGAUGAACUCUUCAUUCACUGUUCGGACCCUGCAGAUUGCAAAGAUACUGUAUGUGGAGACUGCAGGAGUCUCUUCAAAGGUCUCAGAAAUGGUGGUGUCUUUGCCCAUCAGUGUUGGGAGACUGGAAGCCUCUUCUAAAUGGGGUUGACUUCCAUGCCUUGUUUUAGACUUUUCAUUUGGAGAAUAAAUUGAAGGUGAACUGGUGGAUUUGUUCUAAUCUACUGGCAAACCUCUGUUGAACUUUAUUUGGUUUAAUAUGAUAUUUGUAUGUGUACGUUUUCAUCCCCAUAUGUACUGGGGAAACAUCUGUUAUGUUUACUAUCAUGCAAUUUAUGUAAUAAUUGCUUCAUGGAUUAUAUUCAUCGUGUUACAUGUUUGGUUGCUUGAGCCUGUUAUAAAUGCCUGAAACUUUUUCUGGACAGUUUAGCAUAGUUUCAAGGCACAUUAUUAUAUAACCUUCUUGUUACCCUAAAGAGUAACUAAUUUUCAGUUCCCUGGUCUUUCCUUUUGACUUGAUGCAAAUGAUUGACGAUCUUUUAACUUUUAAGCCUAAGUUUUGGUGUGUUCGACAUUUGUAUGAUUUCAUUUUGAUUGCAUUGGUGGUAUACUCUACUUGUUCAAAUUUUGGUGUCGACACUUCCCCCUUGGUUGCAGCGUCUUUUUUGUUUUAUUAUAUACACAACACAGUAUAUAAAAUGCAGACAACUCUACAAGCUAAAGCAGCUGACUACAUGUUGAAUUAAUCUCAUAGGGUAUAUCAUAUUUUCCCCUUGAUCUGCAAGCAAUUUUUAGGUCCUUUUUGUUAUUUUUUUAGUUUCUUGUUACUUGUGUGAAAAACGUCUUUCUUUGCAUAUUUUCUCAUCAAAUUUUGAAUUCACAAACAAUUAUUUCCAUAUGAGCAAGAUAACUACUUCCCUGGCCAUCACAUUUGGUGAAUAUUAGAACUUAAUUUGAUGUUUUUGGUGAUUAUAUGUAUUAAGUUAUUACUCAUUCCAAUUCAUAAAAAAAAGUCUUAUUUAAUUAUACUAUUUUUAGUCUAAAUGUGAAAUUCUAAAAUUCAAAGUUGAUGUAAAUUUAUUUGAAACUUAUAAAGUAUUAGCAAGUACAAAAUUGUUAUUUUUAAAAUUUAAAUAAAUUAUAAACAAAAUUCAAAUUUUAAUUGGUUAACUAGUUGACUUUAACACUCUGUGUCUGAGUUUUGGACGGAAAAGAAAAGAAUAGAAACGUUAUAUUAGAACAGAAAAGAAAAAAAAAUAGAAAACUUGAAGUUUUAUUUUGUAGUGUUUAUGAGUUUUUAAUAGAAAAGAAUAGAAAAUUUAAAAAUUUUAUUUUCUUGUGUUUUUGAGUUCCAAUGAAAAGAAAAGAAAAAUAUAACUUUUACAAAUUUACCCUUUUAUUAAUUAUAACCAUUGAACUAUGAAUAAAAAUAUGCAAAAAAAAUUUAAUCAAAGAAAAAAAAUAUUCUAUAAUCAAAUACAAAUAUCCAAAUAAAUGUUGAAUAAAAACUACUUCUACAAAGUCAUUGUCAUACUACUAACGGAGAUUAUUCAUCGAAUUCUUUAAGAAAUUCAAUCUCCUCUCUAAUAAUAACCCAAACACUCGUGUCUUGUCUUAAUUUUUUAGUAGCCAAAAAUAAGCUUCAUCGAUUUUUUUUCCUCAUCAAAAUUAUUACAAUUGCUAAGAUAAUUAUUACCUUAAUUUGUUUAUUAUAUCUUCUAGGACUAUAUAAUCACAAGCUAAUUACUAAUUCUAUGUUUAUAGAUUAUUUUUGCAUUAAUUUAUUCAUUAGUUUUGAUUUUAUUUAUUAAUAAUAAGAAUUUUAAACUUUUAAAUUUUUCAACGUAAUUUUAUAAAACAAUACAUAAUAAAAAAUUGCAAAAAAACUUUUUGAAACAAAUUUAACUCAAAUAAUAAUACAAUAAAAUAUAUGAAAAAAAGACAUGAAUCGUGCCUAUGGGCAUUCAUGUUAGUAUAUAUAAAAUAUAAAACGGUACUAAUUAACCUUACUCAAUUAAUAUAAUUUAAUGAAAUGAGCCCAAUUAUCCAAAACAAUUAAUCUCUUUAUUUAAUUAAUGAAAUUAUUUAAUUUCAAGUUAUAUUAAAAUUAAUUAAUUAUCGUUCGCGGCAGUAUGAGAACUCUUAAAUUAAAACAAAUUGGGGACAUGAGUUGUAAUUUAAAAUUUAUUAUAUUGAAAGUUGAGGAUAAUAUUGGAAUUAUAAAAAUAUUACUUAUUCUAAUUUCUUUUCUGUCCAAAUCAUGCCAAUUUUGGACGAAAAACUUUAACAAAAAAAGUGGCCAAAUUUGUUAUUAAUUUCUUUUAUUUUCCGUUUAUUAAAAAACUUAGAAACAUAAAAAUUAAAAAGAAAAUUUAAAAUUUUCGUCUAUUUUAAAACUAAGAAACAGAUUGCAAGCGAUCAAAGCUAAAAGGGAAAUCUUUUUGUGGAAAAAAGGGUAUUUCUUUUGUAUGUAAAGCUUACACCUAAUGAUAUGAAUUCCACCUGCAAUUAAUUUAUUAGAUUAAAUGCCUUGCUAAAGAUUUUAGAAUUUUUUUAAAUUACAUGUCUUGUUAAAGAUUUUGAAUGAAAACAUUGAUAUCACUAUAAACUUGAAGUCUGCCUGCCUACAUGAAGCUCAAUCCCAACCCACCUGUCUGAAGGUCAAACUUGUACCUAUAUGGAUCUGUAUUGAAUUUCAAAAUAAUUUUUUUUUAUUAAAUUGUAUCAUAGAACAUCAUCCAAAGCUCACAUACAAUAUCGGACUAACACUACUUUUAUACAAUCAAAGACCUGUGUUAGGAGUAUGCAAAAGCAUUUGCCAAGAUCGCUAACUGUUUUUAAUAAACAGCUACGGGCGUGGUCAUAAAUCUAGCUCUCACAUAUCUUGCAGUGCAGAAAUCUCUCCUCAAGUAACCCAUUGUACAAUUAUUUUUAUGAGUUUUAACAUCUUUCUUUCGUUUUACAAGUCGUUAAUAAAAGGAGGGGAAGAAUGCCUAGCUUUUACUAUACAAACCGGAUCUGACAAGUUAAAACCUUGUGUUAGUAACCUGGUAUUGCUCAUGUGAGAACUUCGCUCUGCUCGACCAGAUCAUUCUCUCUGCACCUUGUUUUGCUUGCACCAACAUGAANNNNNNNNNNNNNNNNNNNNNNNNNN